GAAGGGAGCGGCCUUUUGAUCCAAAGACAGCAAGUCUAGAGGACUCGGAAUUCAUCGUUAACAUAAAAGUGCCUCUUUUCGACGUUGUUCCUCCGAUUCUUGAUUCAAUUUUUCGUUCUGCUUGAUAACUUCAAAGGACACGGUUGGUCUGUUCAUUAUGCUAACUAUAGCUGCCUAUAAAUAAGAGGGUUGACCUCAAUUGUGUGAGUGAAAGAACUGCUAUACUUAUGUUCCUUCCUGUAAUAACGAAAGCCUCUUAAUUCAGUGUCUCUACUUCUUCAGCAAAAUAAAAAUAAAUUCUUGAUCGAAAUACACCCAACUUUUCUAUUUUUCUUAUAAAAAUGACACCACGAUAGGAUGGGAUUGUCCUUGUGUUGUGUCAUUGAUCUAUCCAUAUUUGUUUUUCCCAAAAACAAUUUCCAUGAAGGAGGAUGUUUUGCUGCUUGUUAGUGCACGCUAUUUAAGCACAAGACAUGAUUGAGAUUUAUGCAAGGUAUGUGGUAGAAUUUAUGUAAGACGACCGAUGAUUCAUAAGGAAAGCUAAACAUGAGGGCUAAUAACUUUUACUAUGGUGAUCAACGCGUUGAAGAAAAUUUUUAGAAUUUUUAUUAUAAGUGGUGCAUACAAAAGUUGGUGAGUCGAACUUGUACUCAAAUACUAGCUCAUGUAUUAGGAGUUGCCUUAGGCUUACGUUAUUAAUCUAGUAACUAAUAUUAGCGAUAUGAAACAUUUUUUCUAUCAUCUUCCAUCACAUGUGUGUAGGUCAAUAUUUUUGUUUGGUCCUUGUCUAGUGAUAAGAUAAUGUGAGUGAUUUUGAGAGAAAAUAUGAAAAACACAAACUAUGAAAAUUCCCUUUUACUUAAACUAUGACAGAUUUGUUUACACUGAAGUUGAUAGAAGACAAUCGAAUGCGCAGGAGUGAAAUCUUGACAAAUUAAAGCGAGAACUAAGACAUGCUAGUCCUUUCUCGCGCAUUUAGUUGGCAUUAUUUUGCGUUGCAAAUAAAUGCGGGCACGGUUGAAGGCAUUUUAUCUUUCCGGAAGUGGAUGGAGAAAUAAAUAUAAUUAAAAGGGAUGCGAAUAAUAAAUGCAAUUUUUUCUUAAUAACGAAGAAUAUAUUAGAAAUAAAUUGAAAUGUAACAAAAUACUUGAAAUAAUUCAAUUGAUGGGUUUUUUCUUUGUCAAUAACGCCCGAUAGUUCCUUGUCAUGAGCUUCUUAUCUUCUGUCUUGAAGGAAGAAAUUACGAAAGACAAAUAAAACGAUUUCCUUUACACAUUCAAUCAAUGCUGCUCAUCCAUAAGUUUCCCAUUUAAUAAUAAUAAUAAUACAAUACAGAUAGCUCAACAGCACCAACCAAAACUUCACCACCAGUCACGGUGAAAUGUGAGAUGCAUGCGCUGAUUUUUAUUUUUAUUUUAAUUUUUAUAAUUACUGAUCGAAUAACAUUCUUUUGUUUAAUUAUUUGUUUUGAAUAAACUAGAGAAUGACAUUUAAAAUAUCAAAUAUUAAAUUUAAUGAUUUGUUGAGAGUGGUAAGAGUAUCUUCGCAUAAAAACUAAAAGUUAGUUGGUUAGCUAGUUAUAAUAGAAAAAAAUUAAGGGACCAAUUUGAAAUAUUUGAGCUAGUUAUAUAAAUUUCCCAUAGAUUUUCACGUACCGUUAGUUUUAAGAAUUCAACUUUGACAUGAUUAUGAAUUCCAAAAAUUGAUUAAGAAGAAAGACAGAAACUUUAGCAAUGAUGCUGAAUCAAUCAUUCAUUUUAUUUAAAUUAUGACUGGUAAUGUUUGGGGUUGACGACGCCUCACCAACUGUCAGGCAAUUAUCGUUUCCAAAAGUUUUCCAGAUUCAGCCUGAAAAUUUAACGGGUGUAAAAAAAUAAUUGAGGAUGAGUCUUUCUUUGUUAUUAUAUCAAUUGUUUUAUAAUUUUAAGAAGAUGAAUCAGCAUUGUAAGCCAUCAUUUUCAUUUAUAAUAAAGUUAAUAUACAAAAUGACCGGUGAGGUACCACCAUACCGGGCGGUGCAUGGAAAGAUGGGGAAUUUGGGACUUCCAGUGCGGCGAGAGACUGAGCAUGAGGGUGCUGCAGCGGCUGGGCAUCACUUAUGAGGUGGCUACUUAAUGACCUGAUCAGUUGAGUUUUGGAGAAUUUGGAUUUUGGAUCAAUUAGUUAGGGAGUUGAGUGAGUUUUGUAACUUUAAGAAAAUAGAAUUUGACUGUAAUUAUUAGUUAUAUCUUUAUUUUUUUACGAUAAGUUUUAAUAAGAGUAAAUUUACAAUUAACUAUUAUUAUUUUUUUAAAAAAAAAACCUUAGCCUCCUCUUACCUCCGCCCUUGGUACCUGCUAAAACCAAAUACCCAAAUUAUGAAAACGAAGAGCGAGACGAUAUGUUACUGGAUUGUUAUCAAAAUUUGAAGCUAGAACUUAGCAAUUGCCCAAAGAUAAAGAUUUGCUAAGAUUUUAAGACCCACAGACUUUUUAGUACCAAUUUAUCUUCGUUCCUUCAAGAAUGAUGGUGAUUUGUAGAGCCAUGCCCUGUAUUCAAAAUAAACAAAUUUGAAGAAUAUAUCUGUUGAUUCUGGUAGGGCAGGAGUCUCAUGCACAAGUUUCUCAUCUAUUUUCUUACCAGAACAAAUUUCUAGUCAAAAUGAGGGCGUGAAAGGAAGAUAAAUAGACGAAAUUUGGCCCACCACUUCCUAAAUGAAUAGCUUUUUACCGUAUUAAACGAGGAAAAAUGGAUUAGAUUCUCCCUUAAUUUGAUCUGAUUAGUGAUUACUAAAUAAAGACCACAGACUUUAUUGUAGUGUGUUUCGUCAUUUAAUACAUUGAAGUUUGUAUGUGGCCCCAGUUUUAGAUCACUUAAUUGGAAAGGCACUUCCUUAAUUAUUUUUCAAAAGCACAUCCUAUAAGACUCCAACAGAUGGAGUCCAAGUUCUAGAAUAGAUGAAUAAAUGAUGUCAAUUAAAUGGCAAUAGCCCACCAAAGAAGACAAAGAAAACAAGUUAGGAGAGAUUUUACGGUAUACCAAAAGUACUACACUUAAUUAAUACAUAUACGCUAUAUGUGUAUUUAUUUUUAAAAAAUUAUCAUGUAAUUAAUAGUUAUAUUUAAUUAAACUAUACAUAUCAUACAUGUAUUAGUUAUAUGUAGCACCUAUAUUAUACUCUAGAAUUUCUCACAAGAUAAUAUGUCAAUAUACCACAAACACAAAGUUUGAAUCCUGUGAAAUAUGUUUAAAAUUGACUCUUGUAGAAAUUAUUAUGUGGUGGUGAAAUGAUUAUGAUAAAUAAUAUAUUAACACAUGUCAAUAUAUAAUUAUGCUACAUCAAUGAGGGUACCAUUGGUUUCACAUUUUUAUUUUACGUCUUAACUUUUGUAUUGACAAUAUUAGUUUUGUAUUUUAUACACAUAUAUAUAACUAGUAAGUUAUUUUUUGCAAUCAAUAAAUAUCUAAUAACUCAAUACUUUUAUAUUUAUGCUCAUAAAAUUUUUACUUUUUAAAUAAAUAUUAAAAUAUCUUAAAAAUAAUAAGUUAUAUUUUUUUAACACUAAUUAAAACAAAUAAUUUUCACAUUUAAUCUUGUUUUAGUUAAUAACAUGGACCAUUCGCUCACCACUUGGCAUAACUUUGUAACCUAGGUCCUGUUUGGAAUCGAAGUAUUAUACCUUUUAAGUUACAACUGUCGUAAAAAUUUUGUAAUUAUAAAACAAAAAAUUAAUAGCUGUGAACUUAAUGAUUGCUUACUAAACUUUAGGUAUUUAUUUAUUUAAUUAAUUGUCUAAAAUUUACUUGUUAAUGUUAUUGACAAUACUUAUGUAUUGAUUAAAAAGAUGAAGUAAGGUAUUGAUCUUAUUGAUCAACAGAAAUAUUUUAUACUAGAUUGACAUAUUUGUGUAUUUAUUUUAAUGUUAAAACUUUAAUUUCUCAUUUAUACUGAUAAAAUUUAGAAAUGGGUAUUAUAUGUAGAUUUUUAAGCUCCUAUUAUAAAUUUAUAGUUCGACUUAUAUAAUUUAAUUUAUUUUUUGUGUUUUUAAAAGUAUUGUUUUAAUAUUUGGGAAGUAAAAAUCCAUUGCAGGUUACGCGAGGAUUUAGAAACCUACAGCAGGUGAAUUUUUUUUAAAAAUAAAAAACCCAUAGCGAGUUAAGAAUUUACUGAUUUAAUUACUUUUUACAAGUGCAUGUUUGAUAAUGAUAAAAUCACUGCACUGAAAGAAUUUCUAUGAAGAAUAUAAGUCUUGUUCUGUAUUUUUAAUGAAAUUUACAGAAUUAUUUAUACAAAAUAAAGACAAAGUAGCCGUUGAAAGGCUUAAUAAUAUUAAAGGAGAAUAAGUGAAUACUUCCUAAACUAUUGCACAAUAUCUUUAUACAAUAGGAAUGAAAUAUUCGUACAUGAUAUUGACAUUCAAGUGCAAAAAUCGUGCCGGAGAUAUUCCUUGACAAAUAACUUUGAUGUGAGCAAGUCGUGUCACGUGUGGAGUGAUUAACCCGACUUGACCGUUAAUGACUUUCCUUUUGGUAAUCUUGGUCAGCUUUCUUAACAAGUGGUACCCAUAACCCAUCCAUACUGCUAGGCUAGGUAAACAGCAUAAAUAAAUGUAUAACGAUUCUUAUAUAAAAAGCCACCACCCCAAGCCAAAAGAAAAAAAAAAUUGUGCUGAAUACAACAAUAUAAUUUCUUCAGUUAUAUUUCCUUGGAAACAAGAGAGAUGAAUAUGAAGAAGCAGAAGCCAAAAGCUAUUGUAGUUGGAGGAAGCAUUGCUGGGGAAUCAUGCGCAAAAGCACUUGUUUCAGCAGGCUGGGAUGUUGUUGUGAUUGAGAAAACUCGUGGACCCCCAACCCAAAACCCAACCGGUGCUGGCCUUGGACUCGAUCCAUUGGCUCAGAAAAUUGUUCAGUCAUGGCUCCAUGAACCUGAACUUCUUUACAACAACACUUUACCUGUCACCAUUACUGAGGUAUAUAAUAUAAUAUAUUUAAUUUUUUUUUUCCCAGCAGAAUCCAGUAGUGCUUUGAAUUAUACUGAUCUCUUAAAGAUAUUAGUUGCACACGUGUAUAUACAAUGGUGUAUGGUUAAGAUUUGAUAAAAGUAUAUUUUGCUCUGCACAAAGUACAAUUUAGAAUGGAAUCUCAUUGGGAAAAAAAUGUAUAUAUGUUGAAUAGAUAAAAUUUCAAUUUGUAUUUAAUUGCAGAACCUAGCAACAGAUGGGGAAAAGAAGAUCAGCUGGGUAAUAGGAAGAGAAGAAGGCGCUAAAUAUCUGACUGCAUAUUGGGCUGAUCUUCAUGGCCUUAUAUACAAUACUCUGCCACCUGAAAUAUUUUUAUGGGGUCACCAGUACCUCUCUUUCUGUAUUUCUGAGGACAAAUUAACUGUCAAAGUUAGAGCUAAGGAUCUUGAGACUGAUGAAAUAAUCGAGAUAGUAGGAGAUUUGCUCGUCGGAGCAGAUGGGAUCCUCUCAUCAAUUGGUCGGAGCAUUCUACCUGACUUCAAAUUGAGGUUUGUGCUUGCUUGUGAAUAUCAAUAAAAGUAAUUAAUUUUUGAGUAUUUUGUUUCAUAAAUUUCAAUGUGUUUUUAAUAGGUACACAGGAUACUGUGCGUGGAGAGGUGUUUUUAAUUUUUCAGAAAACGAUUCAGAAACCAUCUUAGGCAUUCGAAAAUCGUAUCCUGAUAUUGGGAAAUGCCUUUACACGAAUAUUGGUUCAGGAUCUCACAUCAUAGUCACUGAGCUUAAGAAAGAGAAGUUCAAUUGGGUUUGGUAUGUCAAUCAACCUGAGCCCGAGCUCAAGGUAACUGCUUACUUUUGUUUCAUCUUUUUAUUUUGUUUCCGGGGUUUUGGGUUGAGUGCUAAAAUCUAAUUUUUGCAAACGAUCAACACAGCUCAGACCAUCACUGGAUCCAUUUUUUUUUUAAUUUUAAUUUUCCGGUUUACCAAUGCAGUAUGACGUGACAUUGGGAAACAAAUUAUUUUAUUCUCUGCAGGGAAAUACAACUUCUGUGAAAGUAAGCAGUGACAUGAUCGAGGAGUUGCACCAAAGAGCAGAGCAGGUUUGGUUACCUGAAUUGUCAAGAAUGAUCAAAGAAACAAAGGAUCCUUUCCUUAAUGCUAUAUAUGAUUGCGAUCCUUUGGAGAAAAUCAUCUGGGACAGAGUGGUGCUAACAGGAGAUGCAGCUCACCCGACAACUCCACACUCUGCCAGAAGUACAAACAUGGCGAUAAUAGAUGCAGCAGUGUUAGGAAAAUGCCUCGAGAAGUGGGGGCCGGAUCAUUUGUACUCUGCUCUGGAAGAAUAUCAAUCCAUUAGGAAACCUGUAACUUCAGCACAAGUUCUACAUUCGCGACGAUUGGGUCAAAUGAAACAAGGGUUAAGUAUUCCUGGAAGGGAGCGGCCUUUUGAUCCAAGGACAGCAAGUCUAGAGGACUCGGAAUUCAUCGUUGUGCCUCCUUUCGACGUUGUUCCUCCGAUUCUUGAUUCAAUUUUUCGUUCUGCUUGAUAACUUCAAAGGACACGGCUUGGUUUGUUCAUUAUGCUAACUAUAGCUGCCUAUAAAUAAGAGGGUUGACCUCAAUUGUGUGAGUAAAAGAACUGCUAUACUUAUGUUCCUUCCUGUAAUAACGAAAGCCUCUUACUUAAUUCAGUGUCUCUACUUCUUCAGCAAAAUAAAAAUAAAUUCUUGAUCGAACUAAACCCAACUUUUCCAAUUUUCUUAUAAAAAUGACACCACGAUAGGAUGGGAUUGUCCUUGUGUUGUGUCAUUGAUCUAUCCAUAUUUGUUUUUCCCAAAAACAAUUUCCUUGAAGGAGGAUGUUUUGCUGCUUGUUAGUGCACGCUAUUUAAGCACAAGACAUGAUUGAGAUUUAUGCAAGGUAUGUGGUAGAAUUUAUGUAAGACGACCGAUGAUUCAUAAGGAAAGCUAAACAUGAGAGUUAGUAACUUGUACUAUGGUGAUCAACGCGUUGAAGAAAAAUUUUAGAAUUUUUAUUAUAAGUGGUGCAUACAAAAGUUGGUGAGUCGAACUUGUACUCAAACACUAGCUCAUGCAUUAGGAGUUGCCUUAGGCUUACGUUAUUAAUCUAGUAACUAAUAUUAGUGAUAUGAAAUAUUUUUUCUAUCAUCUUCCAUCACAUGUGUGUAGUAAAACAAUAAAACUCUGGAGGACGAUUUGUAAUCCUCAGUUUUCAAUGAGGUUCAUAUCACAUAUCCUUCACUUAUAUACAAGCUAAGAAUACAUAUGAUAAACAUUAGCUUACAAGAUAACUACAAGGAUCUAACGAUAACUACAAAGAUAAUUACAAGACUAACGAUAAGAAUAUUUUAAGUUUUAUCUUUAUCGUUAUCACACCCCCGCAAGCUGACAGGACAAGAACGAACUGGAAGCUUGGAAAUUAGAUAGCGAAAGCGAGAAGUAGACAGGCCUUUAGUAAGACAAUCAGCAAGUUGAUCGAGAGUAGAGAUAUAACGAACAUCAAGCUCUCCGCGAACAACCUUUUCUCGAACAUAGUGAUAGUCAACCUCUACAUGACGAGUCCGGGCAUGAAACACAGGAUUGGAGGCCAAGGAAAUGGCACUUAUGUUAUCACACCACAUGCGAGGACAAGACAUAGGAAUAUGUAAGUCUUUGAACAAAGAUCGAAACCAAGAUAAAGUAGCAGCUGUAUAUGCAAGCUGUCUGUACUCAGCCUCGAUACUAGAACGAGAAACCCCUUUUUGCUUCUUAGAACUCCAAGAAAUAAGAUUAGGUCCAAUAAAUAUUCAGGAACCCCCUGUGGAUACUCGAUCAUCAGGAUCACCAGCAUAGUCGGCAUCAGAAAAGGCUUGUAGUUCCAUUGAACCAGAUGAAUAAAGCAGACCAUGAGUGGUUGUACCCUUCAAAUACCGCAAGAUGCGUUUAACUGCACACCAAUGAGCUGUUGUAGGACGAUGCAUGUAUUGACAAACCUGAUUAACAACAAAUGAAAUAUCCGGACGAGUGAUUGUAAGAUACUGCAAAGCACCAACAACACUACGAUAUUCGGUGGGAUUUGAAAGUAAAUCACCAUCAAACAGAUUGAGACGACGACCACUCACUGCUGGUGUUGUCAUAGGCUUUGAAUUGAGGAACUCAGUGCGAUGUAAAAGAUCUAGAAUAUACUUGGUUUGACACAAGUGGAGCCCCAUUGCUGUUUGAGUAGCUUCAAUACCCAGAAAAUAAUGUACAGGACCAAGAUCUUUCAUAGAGAAUAAUUUGCUCAUAUGAUGUAUCAUUUGAGAAAUAUGAUAUGAACUAUUUCCCGUAAUUAAAAUAUCAUCAACAUAGAUGAGUAAAUAUAGAAGCACUGAAUCAUGUGAAUAAAUAAAUAGAGAAUAGUCUGCCAGUGAUUCAUGAAAGCCCAAUUGUUCUAAAUGACUAGAGAAACAUUGAAACCAUGCCCUAGGAGCUUGUUUAAGGCCGUAGAGAGAUCGGGGAAGCUUACACACAAAAGUAGGAUAUUGUGGAUCAACAAAGCCAAUAGGUUGGCGCAUAUAGACAUCCUCCUAUAAAUAACCAUGCAGGAAAGCAUUUUGCACAUCUAACUGUCGAAUAGGCCAGCUUUUGGUAACAGAUAUAGCUAAAAUGAGACGAAUGGUAUUGUGAUUAACCACUGGACAGAACGUCUCACCAAAAUCAAGGCCAGGUUGUUGAUGAAAACCAUUAUCAACUAAACGAGCUUUAUAACACUCAAUACUUCCAUCAGCUUUUCGCUUAAUUUGAUACACCCAUUUAUUUGGAAGGACAUUGUAAGAUGGAUGUGGAGGAACUAAUACCCAAGUACCAGUUCUUUGAAGAGCAUUAAAUUCAUCACCCAUUGCUUGUCGCCAACGAGAUUCCUUAUUUGCCUGUACAAAACCAUUAGGCUCAACAGCAUCAUUAGCAACUACAUUUGCAUAUUUUGGGUUUGGUUUCACAAUACCGGCUCUUGCUCGAGUGACCAUUGGAUGAGAAGAUAAUGCAUCCGAAGUAAUAUUAUCACAGGGCAUCGAUGGUGUCAGUGUAGGUGAAGAUAAUGAUUCUGGAAUUGUAUUAUUACUUGAAUUGGUGGGGGCCGAAUUAAGGCUAGGAGAAUUUGUAUUUGAGAUGAGUGGAGUGGAGGAAGAUGAAGAGGCACUUGAACGUAAUGAUGGAGAAUUAAUUGGAGAUGAUAGGGAAUGGGGUAAAGGUGAAUUAAAUGAAGAUGGUGAUGUGGCUUGGGAAGGAGAUUGUGAUGUAGGUUCUGUUGGAGCUAAAUGUGAAGUAUUAGCAUUAAUCCAAAGAAUAUUGAGUCCUGUAGAAUUUGACAUUAAAGUACUCACCCCCGGAGGCCUAGCAGUAACAUGGUCAACGAAAGGAAAUUUAUUUUCAUUAAAAAGAACAUGACGAGAUAUAAAUACAGUGCCUGAAGGAAUAUGCAAACAACGAUAUCCAUGUUGAUUGAAUGAGUAUCCCAAGAAAACACACUCUUUAGAACGAAAUUGUAAUUUAUUUGAAUUGUAAGGACGAAGAUAAGGGUAACAUGCACAUCCAAAGGUCUUUAAAAAAUCAUAUUGAGGAGUUUUAGAAAAUAGUAAAGAGUACGGUACUCGAAAUUUUAAAGAUUGAGAUGGUAGACGAUUAAUUAAAUAUACAGAUGUAUAAAAAGCUUCAGUCCAAUAAGUAGUAGGCAUUGAGGCAUGUGCAAGUAAAGUUAAGCCCAUGUCAACAAUUUGUCUAUGUUUACGUUCAGCAAUACCAUUUUGUUCAGGAUGAUGAGGACAUGUGAGAUGAUGAUUAAUGCCAUGAGUAUUUAGAUAAUCCUUAAAUUGAUGAUUAACAUAUUCACCACCACCAUCAGUUUGAAAUGACUUAAUAGUAAUGGAAAACAUAUUUUCGACCAACGAUUUAAAAGUUUUAAAAAUUAUAAAAAUCAGAUUUCAAUCGCAUAGGAUAAAGCCAUACAUAUCUGGAAAAAUUAUCAAUAAAGAUAACAUAAUAUUUAUAACCAGAAAUAGAACGAAUAGGAGAGGUCCAAACAUCAGAAUGUAUUAAUUCCAAAGGAGAAUGGGAGACUGAAAAAGAACUUGUAAAAGGUAAUUUCUGACUCUUUCCUAAAGGACAUGACGAACAAAAAAAUAAAGAUCGAGAUCCCAAAAUGAGUAGCUUAUUAAAAGAUAUAAGUUUAUUUAAAACUACGGACGAAGGAUGUCCAAGCCGUGAAUGCCAAAUUCAAGCAUCACUACGAACACCAACAUAAGCAAAUGGAUGACUAGGUUGAAAAAUUCGACCAGGAAAUAGAUAAAGACCAUUACUGCUCGGUCCGAGGAAAAGUGCCUUCUUCAUUGCCAGAUCUUGUACAACAAAAUAAUCAGGAAAGAAGGUGAAACUACAAUGAUUGUCAUUAGCAAAUUUAUGAACGGAUAAAAUAUUAUGGGAAGCUUGUGGACAAUGAUGAACAUCCUUUAAAAGAAAAGUGGAAGAAUUAGCAGAUAAGUAAGAAUGACCAAUGGAUUUAAUAGGCAAACCUGAACCAUUGACGACACCACUGAUGGUAUCCUGACCAUUGUAAUCACGAGGAUGCAUUAAAUUCCCAUUAUUUGGAGUUAUAUGAGCAUUAGCACCAGUAUCUGUUAACCAAUUUGGGGAACCAAAAGAUGUUGAUGUAGAAAUCAUUGCAGAAAGCUGUUGGGGAGGGAUACGACCCUCAUAUGCAUGAUUCAUGCGAUUGUAGCAAUCAAUAGCUGAGUGACCCAUUUUCUGAUAGAUUUGGCAUUGAAUCCGAUUGUCAGAAGGAAAAGGACCCAUUGGGGGUUUGUUGAUAGGACCAUUACUAGGAUUGAAAUUUGGCAAAGAGGAAAAAUUCCCACGUCUUGGAGUUGGCAGUAGCCCUCUAUUUUGAGAACCAAAACCAGUAUGAUUAGAACUACUAGACCAUCCAGUAAAACCAUUACCACCAUUGAAACCCCCAGAAAAAUUAUUAACACCACCACGACCACUAUUAUUACGCGGGAAGCCACGACCAUCUCUAUUAUUUGGGCCACCUCGAGUGGCUUUCAUGACAACUGUUGAGUCGGACGGAUACAGAUAUUGUUUAAUAGAAGUGAGGCGUCGCUCAGCACUCAAAAGUAAAGCUUCAAGACCAACAUAACUAAUAGGAGUUUCACGAGCUUGAACAGAGGCAACUGUAUUUUCAUAUAAAUGACCAACAAUACUCAUAAUAAUGGAGACCAAGUCUUCAUCAGAAAUAUGACUACCAGAGAGAGAGAGAUUGUCAGCAAUAGAGUGAAUUUUAUCCAGAAAAUCAGAAAUAGAAAGAUCACCGCGUUUAGUAGUAACUAGCUCAGUACGCAACUCGACGAUUCGUUGUUGAUUUUGGGAAGCAAAACGUUGAUCUAAAGAAGACUAGACAGCACGUGCAGAAGUGUAACGUGCAACAGUACUUAGCAAGGAUUGAGAAAGAGAGCCAUUAAUCUAAGAGAGAACAAGUUGAUCAUUCUGAAUCCAUUCCUCAUAUGCUGGAUUAAUUAUAUCAGUUACUUCUCCAUUUUUUUCUUUUAGAAAAGGAGCAGGACAAACGCUUGUGCCAUCAACAUAUUUUUACAAAUUACGACUGCGAAGAAGAGGCACAAUUUGAGCAAGCCACAAAGGAUAAUUAUUUCGGUCAAGACGAACAUUGACUGAAUUGGUAAUAUUAGAGGGCAGAGAUGAAGAACUAGCAUGGGAAGUGGAAGAAGAACUCAUCAUGAAAAGAUUGAGAAUUUAACACAAAGGUUGUUAGACUUAUAAAGUUCUGAUACCAUAAAACAAUAAAACUUUGGAGGACGAUUUGUAAGCCUCAGUUUUCAAUGAGGUUCAUAUCACAUAUCCUUCACUUAGAUACAAGCUAAGAAUACAUAUGAUAAACAUUAGCUUACAAGAUAACUACAAGGAUAAUUACAAGACUAACGAUAACUACAAAGAUAAUUACAAGACUAACGAUAAGAAUAUUUUAAGUUUUAUCUUUAUCGUUAUCAUGUAGGUCAAUCUUUUUGUUUGGUCCAUGUCUAGUGAUAAGAUAGUGUGAGUGAUUUUGAGAGAAAAUAUGAAAAACACAAACAAUGAAAAUUCCCUUUUACUUAAACUAAGACAGAUUUUUCUACACUGAAGUUGAUAGAAGACACUCGAAUGCGCCGGAGUGACAUCUUGACAAAUUAAAGCGAGAACUAAGACAUGCUAGACUGCUAGUCCUUUCUCGCGCAUUUAGUUGACAUUAUUUUGCUUUGCAAAUAAAUGCGGGCAUGGUUGAAGGCAUUUUAUCUUUCCAGAAGUGGAUGGAGAAAUAAAUAUAAUUAAAAGGGAUGCGAAUAAUAAAUGCCAGUUUUUCUUAAUAAUGAAGAAUCUAUUAGAAAUAAAUUGAAAUGUAACAAAAUACUUGAAAUAAUUCAAGUGAUGGGUUUUUUCUCUGUCAAUAACGGUUGAUAGUUCCUUGUCAUGAGCUUCUUAUCUUUUGUCUUGAAGGAAGAAAUUACAAAAGACAAAUAAAACGAUUUCCUUUACACAUUCAAUCAAUGCUGCUGCCUUUAUACCUUUAUUAUUCUCGGAGGGAUGAUACUGUUGAGAGCCGAAACCAUUACCCACACUCACUCCUCUUAUGGCCAUGUCUAACUCUCUACAAUAAUUUUGAUAUUGCUGUUCUUCAGUUCUUCCACUACUCAACAAAUGCGAAGGUAUGCGAUGGCUCCCCUCAAUCAAGUUGAUUUUACAUUUGUUACAAUAUACUCCCGCCAUUGCUAGAGCCUCUAUGGACAUGUUUUAACAAGGUGAAGGAGGAGCUAAAUAAAAUUCACAAUUUUCCUGAAAGUUUACAGCUUCCAGGAAAUUCACCACCUCUAUAGAAUUGUAAUAACAAGAAUUGUGGUCUCCGUAAAAGAAUUUAUAAGAGUUAAUAUAAAAGAUUUGUUUAGGAGAAUGAAUUUUAUACGGACUAGAAAUACUCAUGAUUAAUUAGUUAUUCAGAAGGUUUAGAAAUCCUCUCGAUAUCAGGAAGCCAUUUAAGAUUCUGAUUAUUGUUGUUCUAAAUAUAUUAGUUUGCACCAACUUCCAAUUCCACAAUUACUCUGACAGCGGUUUUCACAGACUUAUUUAUGUAUCUGAAUCUUUUUUAUUCAUGAAAGAAUAAUCUCUUGCAAACUCACAACUUCAAUUAUGAAUAAACUAGGUAGCAACCAUUUCUUUACUUUUAAUUGCUUUGGAAAUUAAGGAUUCGUCAGCCGCCAGAUUCCGCAGUGAUUCUGUUGCAUUGGAUUCCUUCAAUUUCCUUUUGCAUUCCAUUAUUUGUUGAACUAUUUAUGCACGAGUGGAGGACGAAUUCUAGAAUACAUUUGAAAUAAUACAAUCAACCAAUGCAUGCACACCACUCGUAUGGAGAUUUUUCAAAAAUAAAUGUACACAUGUCAUAAUAUUAUCUACUUGUUAUAUGACUGACAUGAUAUUUUUCAUGUAUUCUAAAUUUUUUCUGAGUGGAGACCAUGAGUGGUAACAUCCUCGUUACAAAAGAGUAUUACAAAGAGAGAAUCACUUGUCAAUUUCAAUAUUUAUUGUAUUGAAACUACUAAGUAUAUAAGCUCGGACAACCCUAAUUUCAUGAUGAGGGGUUAAAGACAAUACUAUUCUAAAAGAAAAUGGAACGAAAUCGUCCAUCCAUAGCCAUUAUUUGACUUUUAGAUUUGCCCUUCCAAAUUUUAACAAAAUGCGCAGACGAUUUUUAAUUUAUUCAUGUGAGCAAAGUACAACAAAAUUAUUGAACCAAUCAGAACCAAGAUGGAAAUGAUCAUAAGCAAAAGUAAUUUGCAAGGAUGAAUGGAAGCAGAUAAAUUAUUCUAAUUAAGAAGGAUAUUUACUAGGAUCAUACCUUAAUCACUUUAUUAUAAAUUAAAAAUGUCCGUACAAGAACUGCUGCAAAUUAAUUAAACUAUUGGAAAAAGAAAAAUUGUAGACAAAAUCUCAAUGAAUUUUAAGCCAAUUUGGCUAACAAAGACAUGCAACCAGCGCCUAAAAGAAGAGAAACAUUUGCUCCAAACUGAAGCCUUUUAUUGGUUUGCAUCUUUGGAUUCAUAAAAUCUGCAGCAAGAAGAUCCACCAAGGACAUGUAUAUUAGGAUUCUGGCUGCUGCUGCAUUGAAUAUUCCUUCAACAACAAGAGCAGUGGCGCUAUUUUUGUCAUAAACACUUGAUAUUUCAAUGCCUAUUUUUACACUAAUUUGAUCAUUUUGUAAUAUAAAAAUUUGACAAUUGAAAAACAAAUCAACUUUUUUUUUUGUUAAAAGAAAACGAAUCAACUUUUAAAUUCAUUUUAAAGUAAAAAAAAAUGACAGUAAAAUACUAUUAACGUAAGGGGAUUUCAGUAAAUUUUAGAACAUGAGAGAUAAAUGACUAAUUUUACUAGACAAAGGGGGUUAAUUUUCUCCUAAAAAAAAUUAGGUAUUGGUUGAUGACUUUUAAAAAAAAAACUACUCUUUAUUAUUAUUUUUUUAAAUUUUCUUUUUGUUCGACCAAAACUCCCAUGGUAUUGGGAUAUACCUAAAUUUGAUGUAAAAUUAGGGAUUAGUUAAAUGAAAUAAUUUAAACACUGCAUAAAAUCUGUUUGUGGGGUAUGCUUCGACGAAGACCAGCAGUGAUAAGCAGACAUUUGGUAGCAGGGUUCCUUGAACAUGUAUAUCUUGUAAGAGUCUGGUAGCCAGGGGAGCAGGAGCAGGAAUAUCCUGCUCGUCCACGAGUACGUCAUCCAUAAGGCCAAUCUCCUGUUGGAAGCAUAAAGUCAUUCCUGCUACAUUCCUGCUAAGGGUUGAGUCGAGGAGACCCGGUCAACGACAGUUGGCGAGACGUGCUCUCCAGUCCGAGAAUCAAGGCACGAAGGCCACGCAACCACCCACGACUACAGAAAUGGAGCAUCCACUUUCGAGAGGUGGGAGGAUAACGAGCGCGAAUGGAGGGAAGGCCUGAGUUCAGAAGUGGCCUAUAAAAAGGUAGGCAACGAAGGUAAAAGGGUUAGAAUUUUUUAUAGGAGAACUAAGAUAAAGAGAGCUCUAAAGAAUGAAUACUAGAGAAAAGCCAUAAGAUUAGUGGCCAGUGUUCCCAAGAGCACAAAACCUUCAUUUCUAACUUGAGCGUCGGAGGGUUUACGCCAGGGAAACAACCGGCGUACUCUGACCUGCUUCUGUGUACGCAGGAACCUCAGGAGAAGAAGCCUUACGAGAAGAGAUCCUGGUCGUGAUAAAGAGGGCAACCAGAAUCUCGCAUCAAUAUUUUGACGCCGUCUGUGGGGAACUGAUCACAAAGUUUUUGUUGACAGCAAAAAGAGGAGUAAAGCAAGUGAAAAAACAAUGGAGGCAGGAGGAAGUAGUGCACAAGGGGGGUGAUAUGAGGCUUAACGAUUCCGUGACGCUGAGGGAGAUAGACAGUUAACCACGGGAAAAAGCCAUGUUUGACCGAAUAGAACGGAUAGAAAAGCAGAUGGAGACCCUGACAACCAUCUUACAUGAGCUGUGGAGUGAAAGAAGGGGAACCCAGGAGGAAAGGGUGAGAGGUGGUGGAGUGGCACCAGGUCACGAUAGUAUGAGGAGAGUCAAACCACCAGGAGAUUUGGUGGUGAGAGAGGUAACUUAUCUCUGCGGGGAGAAAUUCAUAGAGAGGAAGAGCAAUCCUUAGCAAGACAGAUUUUUGAUGAGGACGACGGGGUGGCGAAUGCAGAGGAAACAGAGCUCAGGCAACACUUACAUGAUGUAGAGCAAGAGCGGGAUCAAGUUGCAGCACGUGACCCUAGUCGUGCAGUGCAGCUGGAGAAGGAAGUGCGCAGACUAGCGCAGGUAAUUGAAGACAUGCAAGGAAGGAGCAGAGCUCCUGGUUGGAGGAUAAUGCUGGACGGAGAAUCACCGCUCGUGGCAGAGAUCAUGAGGGCAGUCAUUCCAAGAGAUUUUCGUCUCCUAGACCUUAGAUAUUUGGGACGAACUGAUCCGUUGGUGUACAUAGAGCGCUUCAACGACAUAACUGGGGUGCAAGGAUUAUCUCAAGCCCAAAGGUGCAGGGUGUUCCCACUAUCCCUAGAAGGACGUGCACGCGAGUGGUACAGAAAAUUUCCUCGGGGGAGCAUUAAAACCUUCGAGCAGAUGUGCCAGGAAUUUGUAGAGCAGUUUCGUGGGGCAAUGGCACCAGAAGACGACAUGAUGGAGUUGAAAAGCAUGAAGCAGAGGGAGCAAGAAACCCUUCGGGAAUUCUUCAAGAGGUUUCAUUGUGCUGUCCUCGAUUUGGAAGCCUUCAACCAUCCUCAGGCAUUAAGGGGAUUGAAAGAAGAGGUGAAGAUAAGAAAAAGUGAUGUCCGUUUUGCCGUCUGAUUUCUCCUUUAUUGUGAAAUGACUAUAAUGCCCCUAAAAUACAUAAAAUACUUAAUUAAAAUAAAACACAUGUAAUUAAAUCACAAGAAGGUUAAACACAUAAAAGUAAGGGUUGUUAAUAAGACUUGAAAUGUAAAAUGACGGUUUUCUCCUUUAUAAAUAUGCAUUUUCUAACACUCAACACUUACCAGCCUCAUCAGAGGCUACCACAGUAUCAGCGCAGCAGGGCGCAACCUCCUCGCUCACCAGCUAGGGAGCCUUGGAGACGGCAUGACGCGGCAUAUGGUGGUCUUCAUCCACACUCCCAUGGUAGUAGAAGGAGCAGACCGAAAGCGCUGCCACCGCCUCCAACUCAGAACGGCGCAAAUAGAGAAAGGGCAGUGCACAUGAUCAACCAGAACCAGGACUAUGGGUGGUAUACUUCCUUGAAGAUGCCCCUGGAUGAGGUGUAUGAGGCCAUAAAAGACCAGGGACUACUGUACCUCUCUGCCCCAAUAACAAAGCUACGCAGCAGGAGGGAUAGGGGACACUAUUAUAAGUUCUAUGGCACUUAUGGCCAUACCACUGCAGAAUGCAGAGAUCUCAAGACCCAGGUUGAGGAUUUGGUGAGAAAUCGGUACCUGGACGAGUUUAUAUAUGGGACUUUCCCGAUGAUGGCCUCGACAUGUGAAGGGGAGCAGAGUGACAGAAACUUGAGGCACGAGCAGCCUACAGUAAGGGUGAUAGCUGGGGGCCCAACAUUGGCCGGAGAUUCCAACAGAUCGAGGAAGAAUUAUGCUAGAUACGCCAUGACUAGUAAAGAGGUAUUCUUCAACACCCCAGCAGUCAAACGAGCAAGAGUCAGGCAAGUGCCAAUCAUGUGGACAGAUGAGGAUGAAGAAGGGAUUUUAUACCCCCACGAGGAUGCUUUAGUCAUCAAGGCCACUGUUGCUAGCAAGAAGUUUGACCAGAUACUGGUUGACACAGGGAGCUCAGUUGAUGUGUUGUUAAAGGCAACUCUGAAGGAGAUGGGAAUAGCAGACUUGAAGUUGGAGUGCUCCAAUACCUCCUUGAAGGGGUUUGGAGGAGGAAAGCUGGUCCCUCUGGGCGUGGUCGAGCUGCCUAUCACGAUUGGGAGCUCCCCGACAGAAAGGACUAUGAUACUGGACUUUGUGGUGGUGGAUGAAGAAGGUCCUUAUCAGAUGAUCCUAGGUCGACCAUUUUUUAGAAUGAGCAAAGUGGUACUGUCCAACCAUUAUCUAGCUCUCAAGUACCGGGUGAAUGGGGUAGUUGGAGUGGUACGAGGAGACCAGAGAAUCGCACGAAGUUGUUACUCCUCGGCAGCAAGGGAAGCAAUGCAGAUAACAUCCCUUGAUACCCGAGUGGAAAAUAAGAAUUGCGGACAAGAACCUGUAGAGGAGCUGGAGACAGUGAGCCUGGGACCGGAGCAUCCGGGAAAAACGAUCAGAAUCAGGUCGAAACUUAAAGAAGAGCAGAAGCAGGAGUUGGUGCAAUGCUUGCGGGCUCAUGCAGAUGUGUUUGCUUGGACACAUGAAGACAUGCCAGGGAUUGAUCCUGAGGUAGCAUGUCAUAAGCUGGUAAUAAAGAAAGGUGCUCGGGCAGUAAGGCAGAAAAGGAGGUGUUUCAACCAGGAGAGGUAUGAGGCUAUAAAUGGCGAGGUGGAAAAGCUCUUGAAAGCAGGGUUCAUUCGGGAAGUCAAUUAUCCUGACUGGGUAUCGAAUGUGGUGUUAGUAAAAAAGGCUAAUGGCAAGUGGAGGAUGUGUGUGGAUUUCACGGACCUCAACAAGGCGUGCCCGAAAGACAGCUUUCCCUUACCAAAGAUUGACCAGCUUGUAGACUCGACAGCUGGACAUAGCCUGCUUAGCUUCAUGGACGCAUUCUCGGGAUACAACCAAAUCCCCAUGUUCGAGCAGGAUGAGGAGAGCACGGCAUUUAUUACUAACCAGGGUCUGUUCUGUUACAGAGUAAUGCCAUUCGAUCUUAAAAAUAUGGGGGCCACGUACCAGAGGCUGGUGAAUAAAGUUUUUAAGCCGUUGAUUGGGAGAACAAUGGAGGUGUACGUGGAUGACAUGAUAACUAAGUCGAAAAUCUCAAAGGAACAUGUCAAGCACCUCGAGGAGACAUUCGCACUUUUGAGGAAGUACAAGAUGAAGCUCAACCCGGAAAAGUGUGCUUUUAGGGUCGAGUCAGGGAAAUUCCUCAGAUUCAUGGUGAGUCAUAGGGGGAUCGGGGCAAAUCCCGAGAAGAUCCAGGCGAUUGUUCAGAUGAGGUCUCCUCGUAACCUGAAGGAGAUGCAGAGCCUUACGGGGAGGCUGGCGGCAUUGAGCCGAUUCAUAUCCAAGGCUACAGAUAAGUGUCAGCCAUUUUUUCAAGUGAUAAGGAAAGGAGAAGACAUAAUGGACCCCAGAAUGCGAAAAGGCCUUUCAGAGCUUGAAGCAAUACUUGUAGCAAGCACCCUUGUUGUCCACACUAAGGGAUGGGGACAAGUUAUCUUUGUAUUUGACGGUAUCAGAUCAUGCCACAAGUUCUGUUCUGGUGAGAGAGGAAGAAGGGGUUCAGUAUCCGAUAUAUUACACCAACAAGGUCCUGCUUGACGCUGAGACCCGAUACCCACCGUUGGAGAAAUGGGCACUCGUUCUUGUGGUCGCUGCUCGGAAGCUGAGGCCGUACUUUCAAGCAUUCCCCGUCUCGGUAAUAACAAACCAGCCAUUGCGUCAAACCCUACACAAGCCGGAUGCCUCUAGUCAACUCGUAAAGUGGGCUAUAGAGCUAAGCGAGUUUGACAUUGAUUACAAACCCCGAGCAGCGAUAAAGGCUCAAGCAAUGACUGAUUUCGUAGCAGAGUUUGCAGAGCCUGAAAUAUGUUUGGACCAGCUAGAUAUUGCUACAGACAGCAGCGAAGCCCGAGUAUGGCAGAUGUCUGUAGAUGGGUCAUCAGGGGAGCAGGGAUCAGGAGUAGGAAUUGUCUUGGAAGGCCCAGAGGGGGAGGAGAUCUCUUAUGCUGUAAAGUUAGAAUUCGCAGCCACAAAUAACCAGGCAGAGUACGAAGCCUUGAUAGCAGGCUUGGAAUUGGCUAAGGCAGUGAAAACAGAUAGAGUGAAGAUCAGAACUGAUUCCCAGCUGGUUGCAAAUCAUGUCAGUGAAAGAUUUCAACCGAGAGAGGAGAAGAUGGAGCAGUACCUGAAGAUAGUCAGGCAGAUGAUGGAGAAAUUUGAAGUGGUUGAGGUGAUACAAAUCCCCAGGGAGCAGAAUAGUCGAGCAGAUAUUUUGGCCAGGAUGGCAGCGGUAGCAGACCCAAAAAUGCCAAAGUCGAUCCCUCUGGAGGUGAAGUCCAACCCGAGCACCGAGCAGAAUCUGGAGGUGCUGCGGAUAGAACAAAAAUGCUCGUGGAUGGACUCGAUAAUUUCAUACCUUAGAGACGGGGUAUUACCACCAGAUAAGCUGCGAGCUCGAAAGAUUAGAGCCCAGGCCUCGAGAUACACGAUGAUUGAUGGGGUGUUAUAUCGGUGAAGGUAUACGCUACCGUUCCUUCGGUGUUUGGAUGAGGACGACGCGGACUAUGUACUGAGAGAGGUACAUGAAGGAAUCUGCAGAAACCAUUCUAGUGGGAGGUCCCUGGCCCACAAGGUUCUAAGGCAGGGAUAUUUUUGGCCGACAAUGCACCAGGAUGCGCAGGAGAAGACCAGGAGCUGUGUAAGCUGCCAGAGUUUUGCAAGUUUCUCCAACCAACCACCAGAGAAGCUCACCUCUAUGGCCUCCCCUUGGCCAUUUGCUCAAUGGGAAAUUGAUCUGAUCGGCCCGUUGCCAAAGGGACGAGGAGCAGCAACACAUGCAAUAGUUGCGAUAGACUACUUCACGAAGUGGAUAGAGGUAGAAGCCCUUAGCAGGAUCACAGAGAAGAAGACAACAGACUUCGUGUGGAGAAACCUGGUCUGUCGGUACGGGAUCCCUUAUGCCUUGGUAACGAAUAAUGGCAGGCAGUUCGAUAAUCACAGCUUCAGGGAUUUCUGCCAAAACCUCGGGAUAGAGUUGAAAUAUUGCUCGCCUGCUUACCCACAGUCUAACGGGCAAGUAGAAGCAGCCAACAAAACGAUCAAGAGGCUUUUAAAAACCAGGCUUGGAGCAAAAAAGGGUGCUUGGGUUGAUGAGCUAUCAGGUGUACUAUGGGCAUACAGGACAACCUAUAAGACAACAACUGGGGAAACUCCAUUCGCCUUGACCUUCGGACACAAAGCGGUUGUACCAGCCAAGAUAGGAACAACCACGCACUGGACAGAUCAUUUCGAUGAGCAAGAGAACAACGACCAGAUGUGCUUGAAUCUAGAUCUGCUAACCGAGAAGAGGGAACAAGCAUCGAGGUGAUCAGCCAUUUACCAGCAGAGGGUUGCUCGGUACUACAACCAGAGGGUGAAUGUAUGGCAGUUCAAGGUCGGAGAUUGGGUGUUGAGGAGAGUGAAUCAGAACACGAAAGACUCGGCCUAGAGAGUACUCAGACCAAAUUGGGAGGGGCCAUAAAGGGUCAAGCAGCUAGUUAGACCCGGAGCUUACAAGCUGGUUCGCACGGAUGGCCACGAGGUGAAAUGCCCAUGGAAUGCGGCACACCUCAGGAAAUAUUUUCAGUAAGACUUAUUCAUGUUUUAAAGUUAUUUCUGUUCAUGCUCGUUGUUUUUUAUUUUUAUUUCAAAGUAAUCUCAUGUAAGCCGAAUUCAAUAAUAAGUGAAUCAAUGAGAAAUUUCAGUUAACUGUACUGUUCAAAAAUUUACUAAGGCAUGCAAAGGCUCACCAAGUCUCAAAGCUUGUUAUGGCGAGACCAGAAGCCAAGUGUGCCAGGAUCUGCUCGACCACGCGAAGGUGAGCAGAACCCCAAGCAUUGAAGAAUUUACUAAGGCAUGCAAAGGCUCACCAAGUCUCAAAGCCUGUUUAUGGCGAGACCAGAAGCCAAGCGUGCCAGGAUCUGCUCGACCACGCGAAGGCGAGCAGAAUCCCAAGCAUUGAAGAAUUUUCUAAGGCAUGCAAAGGCUCAUCAACUCUCAAAGCCUGUUUAUGGCGAGACCAGAAGCCAAGCGUGCCAGGAUCUGCUCGACCAAGCGAAGGCGAGCAGAAUCCCAAACAUUGAAAAAUUUACUAAGGCAUGCAAAUGCUCACCAAGUCUCAAAGUCUGUUUAUGGCGAGACCAGAAGCCAAGCGUGACAGGAUCUGCUCGACCACGCGAAGGCGAGCAGAACCCCAAGCAUUGAAGAAUUUUCUAAGGCAUGCAAAGGCUCACCAAGUCUCAAAGCCUGUUUAUGGCGAGACCAGAAGCCAAGCGUGCCAGGAUCUGCUCGACCAAGCGAAGGCAAGCAGACCUUUAAGUGUUAUAAAAAUUUCUAAGGCAAGUAAAGGCUCCAAAGUCUCAAAACCUGCUCGAUGGCGAGAUAAAAAGUCAAGCUUGCUAGAAUUUGCCCGACCAUGUGAAGCCGAGCAAAAAAAAAAAAAUUUACAACUUCUAUACCAGAAGACAAGUAAGAACAUUCUUAUUAAUAUGCCAACAGUUCGUAAAGUUAUUCAUCAUAACAGACAAUGUCCAAAAAAUAGGAAAAGGCAACUAUAACACAAAACAUGUUUAAAAAGACGGCGGCUCAGUAAGCCGAGAAGCCUCAGUUGGCUGGUCCACCUCAGGUGCUGGGGGAGUAUCACCAGUUGCGUCCGGGGGGGCACUUGCCUCGCCAACGUCAACAGGGAUUGCACAAGGAGGAGAGUUUUCCUCCUCGACCAUAAUUGGCUCCACCACUUCGGCAUCCUCUUUCGCCGCCUCCUCAUCAUCCAUGUGUUGAGCAACACCAGCUGCAAGGUCAUCCAUUUUCAGAUCAGGGUGCUACUUCCCAAGGACAACCAUGAUGCAACGAUAAGAAUGCCGAAGUCCCUGGUCGUAUUGGUUGUCCGCUUCCUUCUCCAAGUUCUCGACCUAAGCCCGGUAGGAAUCGCGGAGAGAUUCGAGCUGAGCCUCGUACAUAACCUUCUACCUUUGCAGAUCUUCUUUGACCUUGGUUAGCUCUUCCUCGAGAGUAAUAGCCUUUGCUUAAGCAAGAGAUUCUCACUCUAUCAGCUUCAGAUUCUCGAGAUUCAAGUCUCCUACUUUCUUCUCGGCAGCGUCGGCUCUGGUCAUCGCCGAUUGAAUGUCCUCCUUCAUCUUCCAGUCAUAACGACCAACCUUGACCUUAUAGUAAGUGGUCAUGCAGCUGAGAUGGAAAUCGCUAUACUGCAUGGCCCCCACCAGCUCACCCAGGGUGCAGCCAUCAAAGUCCUCCAGGUCCUUCUUGCUUACAAGUUUAGAUAACUCGUUGAGAUAGGGGACCAAGUGUUCUGCUCGGUUGUCAGAUAAACGAGAUCUAGGCCCGACAGGAGGAGAAGAGGAAGCAGGAUCAGUGGCUGCUCCACUAGUUUCUCCGACUUUGGCAGGAGGAGGAGGUAGAGUCUUCAAGGGAGGAACCUGCUGCACAAUGUUCACCCGCUUCGCAGUAAGAGCGUCCUUGUUCUGGUCUCUCUUCGCAGUUUGAGGUCGAGAACGUUUCCAAUUCAGAGCCCCGAUCACAACAUCCUCCAUCUUAUGGCCGGGGGGCACCAAGCAAGAUUCAACCAGGUUAUAACGUGGUUAGCAGCUCCCAGUGCGAGCAAGAAUUGGCCAACACAGCCUCGACCUGUUUGAGCUGGUCGGGAUUAAGCGGGAAGUGAACACCCCAAGAACCUGUAAAACGAACAGACAUUUGGUUAGAGACAAAUCAACAAAGUGAGAACAACUAUAGAGACAAGUCAUUUAAAAUGAGCAGGCAACCUGGAACCACGAAAUGGGGUGGGACGCGAUAAUCCUUCCCAUCAAUCUGUGCAACUUGACCCCAGGGACCCCCAGCAAAAAAGAACUUUCUCUUCCAAUUCCCACCACCACCAGUAGGAAGGUCGGUUAUGGGUUUCCUGAUCUUAGUACUUGAUUGGAAGUAAUACCAGCCAACAUCUUUGGGGCUGGUUUUCAGCUGGUACAUGUGCUUCACCUCAUCAACUGUGGGCUCGCUUUGGCAACAUUUGUCCCACAAUAUGAACAGACUAGAGAGUACUCUCUACCCGUUGGGGUUCAGCUGACCAGGAGCUAGAUUUAGCCCGUUAAGAAUCCGGGCAAAGUAGGGUUGCAAGGGGCACCUCAGUCCAUACUUAAAACUCUCCAAAAACGGGGUAACAUAUCCCCUAGGAGGCCAGCUAGGAGUAUCCUUCUUUCCUGGGAUUUUAAGAGGUAUUUCACCAGGAAUACUAUACCUAAGCCGGAGGUCAGUGAGUUCAUCAAAUGUGGUCGUGCAUGUAAUGUAAUCAAUAGCGUAAUCCCGCGAUAGGGCUCUACCUCCUACUAUACUCCGCCCUUCUGGUCGCGAUGUUCGCAGUGAGGAUACCUCCCCAGAGUCACCCCUUCGAUCCUCACUCAGGGUGUUUUUCGAGCCAGAAGAUCCCUCCUCAUCCCUAUUUCUGCUUGAGGAGGCUGUUUGGGGGGACAUCCUCCUAGAGCUAGUCCCAACACUAGACCUAAUGGGUUCUAAGGGGAUCCUGGGGUCAAAAGUAGGAUCGGUGAGCAGACUAGGCAGGAAGUCCAACUCAUCGUCAUCAACCUCAAUGACUUUUUCUUUACCUUUCGACAUUCUCUAAACUAUAACUAGAGCACCACCACCAACUACUACCCAAUCAAAGCAAAGAGAAAAGAAAUUAUCUACAACUAUCCAAGACCGAGAAAAUAGGAGAAAUACCUAAAGAAGGGGCUCGGCCAGAGAGAGAUAGGGAUGGAAGCUUUAAUGCCGAAGUUCAUUCGCCGGAGAGACAAGAAGGGAGAAAAUGACGAGUUCUCGUUUGGGGGUUUUGGGUUUUCCUACUGAGGAACAAACUCUUGGGCUGCCAGCAUUUAACGGCACAUAUCCCAAGAGUCUUGCAACCGUAGGUUUGAAAUUCAAAUAGAGGGGUAGAUUUCUGCCACAUCACCUCAUCCGCAAUUAAAUGCGACACGACACUUGGCAGCUUUUUCCAAUCCCGCGCGAGCAAGAACUGUCGAGUUUCUACUGUUGGCUCACUACGUUACCCAACACCAGAAACUGGGGGACCAAUGUUUGUGGGAUAUGCUUCGACGAAGACCAGCAGUGAUGAGUAGACAUCUGAUAGCAGGGUUCCUUGAACAGGUAUAUCUUGUAAGAGUCUGGUAGCCGGGGGAGUGUUGUGCAAAUUUUAAUGUACUCGCAAGCGCACGAAUCUAUUGUAGUAUAGAUUAAUGGUGACGAGUGUCGAUCCCACGAGGAGGUGUAUUUUAAUUAUAUGUAGAAUUAAUUUUGUAAAUGGGUGGUUGAAAUUGUGGUGGAAGUGAUUUAAAUUAUCCUAAAAUUGGAAUUGAGAUGGCGAUAAUAAAUUCUAAAAUUGGAAUUGCAAUGGCGAGAAUAAAUUGAAGCAAAAUCUAUUGAAAUGACGUACUUGGGUAUCUGGAUCCAUAUCAACAUGCAUCAUGAGCUAAAUAAUCCGUAUUAAUGCCAAUUAAAUCAUGAGGGGGGAAUCCACACCUCAUGAACCACGCUCUAAUCAAUAUGGUGCUAAGGGCUUAUCGUUCCAAAUAAUAAUAACCUUGUACUAGAGGGCCGGUGAAACCAAGGCGGUACUAGACAAGAUUAGUAUUAUUUGUCGACGAGAAGUCAAAACAUCCACAAAAACUAGAGGGGAAGAGAAAAUAAAUUUACCAAAUAAAGCCCAUGACACAUGUUGAGACUUCACCUUCAACCCAAGCUUGAAAGAAAAUUAGCUAUUCAUAAUUGAACUAGGGGCAAAAUGAGAAUUUAUUAAAAUACGUAGAAAAUAGAAGAUGGAGAAGGAAUUACAGAAAAUGGAUCCCAAAAAUGGAUUCAGAGAUAUCAAAUUAAGGGGGAGAGGCCCCUUUUUUAUAGAUACAUGGAAUAAAUCAUGGCCAUCGGAUUAAAAACAGUUUUGACGCUCAGGAUUGCGCCACUUCAUCAGUCAACAAUACGCGGUUUGACCACGCGAAUGAACAGCAACACAGUUUGACCCGGGUUGAACAGUAAUGAUGUUUGGUUGAAAAUAAUCCUGUGUGAUACAUGUACCGUGCGCGAGAUUUUUCGUCCACUGAUAUGCUGCCACGUCACCAUCAAUAGUACAUAAGAAUUUUAGUCCAACAGGAUCGUGACACCUCAUCAGUCAAUGCCACAUCAUCGGUCAAUGCCACAUCAUCGAUCCGUCUAUGUGAACAAUGUCGUGAACAGUAACGUAGAUAGUACCGUACAUGUGAAUAGUGCCAUUUUUCCUUUUAUGCUCCUCAUAAGGUUUUCGACCGUCCUGAGUUCAAAAGUGAUGUCCGUUUUGCUGUCUGAUCUCUCCUUUAUUGUGAAAUGACUAUAAUGCCCCUAAAAUACAUAAAAUACUUAAUUAAAAUCAAACACACAUAAUUAAAUUGCAAGAAGCUUAAAUACAUAAAAGUAAAGGUUGUUAGUAAAACUUGAAAUGUAAAAUGAUGAUUUUCUCCUUUAUAAAUAUACAUUUUCUAACACUCAACAUGGAGCAGGAGUAGGAAUAUCCUGCUCGUCCAUGAGUACGUCAUCCACGAGGCCAAUCUCCUGCUGGAAGCAUAAAGUCAUUCCUGCUACAUUCCUGCUAAGGGUUGAGUCGAGGAGACCCGGUCAACGACAGUUGGCGAGACGUGUUCUCCAGUCCGAGAAUCAAGGCAGGAAGGCCACGCAACCACCCACGACUACGGAAAUGGAGCAUCCACUUUUGAGAGGUGGGAGGAUAACGAGCGCGAAUGGAGGGAAGACUUGAGUUCAGAAGUGGCCUAUAAAAAGGUAGCCAACGAAGGUAAAAGGGUUAGAAUUUUUUAUAGGAGAACUAAGAUAAAGAGAGCUCUAAAGAACGGAUACUAGAGAAAAGCCAUAAGAUUAGUGGCCAGUGUUCCCAAGAGCACAAAACCUUCAUUUCUGACUUGAGCGUCGGAGGGUUUACGCCGGGGAAACAACCGGCGUACUCUGACCUGCUUCUGUGUACGCAGGAACCUUAGGAGAAGAAGCCUUACGAGAAGAGAUCCUGGUCGUGGUGGAGUUGAUCGAGCAGAGAUCCUGGUCGUGGUAAAGAGGGCAACCAGAAUCUCGCAUCAACAAAAUCUGCCUUUGUCGAUGCUAUCUCACUGUCUUAAGGCCUAACUUCUUGAAAUUUUUUCUGAAAGAUACAACAGGAUCACUUAUCCACAAGCCUAGUCAGCAACUUGGACACUAUUUUCAGCAUUAGCAUUGACAUAAGAACAAAACGUACAAUUGAGCUUAUUAAAAAACAUUGCAGUUGAUUGGAUUGUUAAUAAGUAUGGCACCAUAUGGAUGAUAAAAUUAAGCAGGAAGAAAGAAAAAAUAAAUUUUAUUAUGCAAAAAAUAAACUACAAACUAGGCACAAUAAAUAAAUAAAAAUAAAUUUUAUUAUGCAACCCAGAAUUCUCCUUUGCUGUCUGCCUCAAUGUUGUCCGGAAAUUUUUGGAGCUGAGCAAAAGGUUGUGGAGGGCACAUAGCUCUAUGGUCAUGGAGCCAAAACCUCAGAACUCGCAUUGGGAUGGAUUCAGCCACUAAGAGGAACGUCUUGUCCUUGAUUAGGGCAACUCCAUUUGGAAAUGCCAAACCUCUGUACAUGAUGGUCACCUCAUUGCUGUAUGGAUCAUACUUCAAGUAACUUCCCGCUUCUGUCUCUGUUAUCGAUUACAGAAGAAUAUUGCCUACAAGAAUAGUAAUUCGGUGUAAGCAUUGUAAAAUAUUAAUCUGGAAUUGAUGAACAAGAAUUAAGAAAAGAAAAUAUCCUUCUUUGAAAAUACAUGCUACUGUCAAUAAAAUAAACGACUCCAGUACUAGGAUCGAUAUCCAAGGAAUAUACAUGCUACUGUCAAUAAAAAAAGAAAGACAAAUAUAAAUAAAUUAUCAAAUAAAAAAAUAUAAAUAAAUGGCACGUAAUGUUUAUUUUUCAUUUAUAAUAAAGUUUAAUAUACCAAAUGACUGGUGAGGUACCACCAUACCAGGCGGUGCAUGGAAAGAUGGGGAAUUUGGGACUUCCAGUGUGGCGAGAGACUGAGCAUGAGGGUGCUGCAGCGGCUGGGCAUCACUUAUGAGGUAGCUACUUAAUGACCUGAUCAUUUGAGUUUUGGGGAAUUUGGAUUUUGGAUCAAUUAGUUAGGGAGUUGAGUGAGUUUUGUAACUUUAAGAAAAUAGAAUUUGACUGUAAUUAUUAGUUAUAUCUUUAUUUUUUUACGAUAAGUUUUAAUAAGAGUAAAUUUACAAUUAACUAUUAUUAUUAUAAAAAAAACCUUAGCCUCCUCUUACCUCCGCCCUUGGUACCUGCUAAAACCAAAUACCCAAAUUAUGAAAACGAAGAGCGAGACGAUAUGUUACUGGAUUGUUAUCAAAAUUUGAAGCUAGAACUUAGCAAUUGCCCAAAGAUAAAGAUUUGCUAAGAUUUUAGACCCACAGACUUUUUAGUACCAAUUUAUCUUCUUUCCUUUAAGAAUGAUGGUGAUUUGUAGAGCCAUGCCCUGUAUUCAAAAUAAACAAAUUUGAAGAAUAUAUCUGCUGAUUCCGGUAGGGCAGGAGUCUCAUGCACAAGUUUCUCAUCUAUUUUCUUACCAGAACAAAUUUCUAGUCAAAAUGAGGGUGUGAAAGGAAGAUAAAUAGACGAAAUUUGGCCCACCACUUCAUUCUUCCUAAAUGAAUAGCUUUUUACCCUAUUAAACGAGGAAAAAUGGAUUAGAUUCUCCCUUAAUUUGAUCUGAUUAGUGAUUACUAAAUAAAGACCACACACUUUAUUGUAGUGUGUUUCGUCAUUUAAUACAUUGCAGUUUGUAUGUGGCCCUAGUUUUAGAUCACUUAAUUGGAAAGGGACUUCCCUUUUUUUUUUUUUUUGAUACAUUGGAGUCUAGUAAAACUAGGCUAAAACAGAAUGGGGAAUAGAGGUUCCAUAUAUAUCAUUACAUAACUAAUAACCAAGACCCUCGGGGGGGUUUUCAAAGACAUGAAAUCUAAGGGGUAAGGAACUAGCAAGUUUCACCAUGGAAUCUGCAGCAAAAUUGGCUUCCCGAUAUAUAUACUUUAUAGUAAUGAGCCAUUGUCUAUUUAUAAGUUCCUUUAUGGCAGUUAUGAGAGAAAAAAAUGUGCAUUAGGCAUCAAGCUAGUAGAGGAAAUAAGUUGGGAAACACAUUGGCUAUCCACCUCUGCAAUUUAAUAACGAAUGCCACAGUCCCAAGCAAUAUUAAGUCCUUGAAAAAGACCCCAAAGUUCUGCAGUAGUCACCGAUCCAAAUCCAAUGUUCAUGCCAAAGUCAAACUGCCACUUUCCAGAGCAAUCCCUCACCAAGCCCCCAGCGCUGGCUAGACCAUUCUUUAAUCAUGAUCCAUUAGUAUUUAAUUUGAAAAAAGAUUCAGGGGGAGCUUGCCAUCUAACAUCUUUGAUGAUCUUAUUACUCUGACCGAAACUAAGAGUUGAUCGUGCAUUUUGAAUGUCCUGAGCCCAAGAUUUAAUUUCAGCAACAACAUGAGUGCAGCAAGGGGAUUUUUGUGAGAAAAGAAAUUGAUUAUGCCAAAACCAAAUUUUCCAGAUAGCCACUCCAAAUUGAUUACGCCAAAACCAAAUUUUCCAGAUAGCCACUCUAAAUUGAUUACGCCAAAACAACAUGAGUGCAGCAAGGGGAUUUUUGUGAGAAAAGAAAUUGAUUACGCCAAAACCAAAUUUUCCAGAUAGCCACUCCAAAUAAACAUGCCCAUUCAUCCCCCACUUCAUUGAUACCAGUCUUUCCCAAGUUGAAAUAGAUCCAAUCACGAAUAUUAAAGGAGAAAAAAUGAUGUCUGAAGUUGACCAGAAUUAAACAAUUCCAUAUUCUCUUUGCAACAAAACAGUCCCUAAGUGCAUGCAUCGCGUUUUCUCUCUCAUGGUCACAUCUUUCACAAUUCAUUUUAUCCAGAAUAUGCCUCUUAAAAAGCUCCUCUCUAGUUUUAAAAAAAUUUUAACUCGUUGGGGCCCGGAAAGGGACUUCCUUAAUUAUUUUUCAAAAGCUCAUCCUACAAAACUCCAACAGAUGGAGUCCAAGUUCUAGAAUAGAUGAAUAAAUGAUGUCAAUUAAAUGGCAAUAGCCCACCAAGAAGACAGAGAAACAAGUUAGGAGAGAUUGUAGAGUAUACCAAAAGUAUUACAUCUAAUUAAUAUAUAUAUAUAUAUAUAUAUGUUAUCUGUGUACUUAUUUUAAAAAAUUAUUAUGUAAUUAAUAAUUAUAUUUAAUUAAACUAUACAUAUCAUAUAUGUAUUAGUUAUAUGUAGCACCUAUAUUAUACUCUAGAAUUUCUCACAAGAUAAUAUGUCAAUAUACCACAAACACAAAGUUUGAAUCCUGUGAAAUAUGUUUAAAAUUGACUCUUGUGGAAAUUAUUAUGUGGUGGUGAAAUGAUUAUGAUAAAUAAUAUAUUAACACAUGUCAAUAUAUAAUUAUGCUACAUCAAUGAGGGUACCAUUGGUUUCACAUUUUUAUUUUACGUCUUAACUUUUGUAUUGACAAUAUUAGUUUUGUAUUUUAUAUAUAUAUAUAUAUAUAUAACUACUAAGUUAUUUUUUGCAAUCAAUAAAUAUCUAAUAACUCAAUACUUUUAUAUUUAUGCUCAUAAAAUUUUUACUUUUUAAAUAAAUAUUAAAAUAUCUUUAAAAUAAUAAAUUAUAUUUUUUAAACACUAAUUAAAACAAAUAAUUUUCACAUUUAAUCUUGUUUUAGUUUAUAACAUGGACCAUUCGCUCACCACUUGGCAUAACUUUGUAACCUAGGUCUUGUUUGGAAUCGAAGUAUUACACCUUUUAAGUUACAACUGCCGUAAAAAUUUUGUAAUUAUAAAACAAAAAAUUAAUAGCUAUGAACUUAAUGAUUGCUUACUAAACUUUAGGUAUUUAUUUAUUUAUUUAAUUAAUUGUCUAAAAUUUACUUGUUAAUGUUAUUGACAAUACUUAUGUAUUGAUUAAAAAGAUGAAGUAAGGUAUUGAUCUUAUUGAUCACCAGAAAUAUUUUAUACUAGAUUGACAUAUUUGUGUAUUUAUUUUAACGUUAAAACUUUAAUUUCUCAUUUAUAUUGAUAAAAUUUAGAAAUGGGUAUUAUAUGUAGAUUUUUAAGCUCCUAUUAUAAAUUUAUAGUUUGACUUAUAUAAUUUAAUUUAUUUUUUGUGUUUUUAAAAGUAUUGUUUCAAUAUUUGUGAAGUAAAAACCCAUUGCAGGUUACGCGACGAUUUAGUAAUUGUUAAAACCUACAGUAGGUGAAUUUUUUUUUUAAAAGAAAAAACCCAUAGCGAGUUAAGAAUUUACUGAUUUAAUUACUUUUUUACAAGUGCAUGUUUGAUAAUGAUAAAAUCACUGCACUGAAAGAAAUUCUAUGAAGAAUAUAAUUCUUGUUCUGUAUUUUUAAUGAAAUUUACAGAAUUAUUUAUACAAAUAAAGACAAAGUAGCCGUUGAAAGGCUUAAUAAUAUUAAAGGAGAAUAAGUGAAUACUUCCUAAACUAUUGGACAAUAUCUUUAUAAAAUAGGAAUGAAAUAUUCCUACAUGAUAUUGACAUUCAUGUGCAAAAAUCGUGCUGGAGAUAUUUCUUGACAAAUAACUUUGACGGGAGCAAGUCGUGUGGAGUGAUAAACCCGUUCUUGACUUGACCGUUAAUGACUUUCCUUUUGGUAAUCUUGGUCUGCUUGCUUAACAAGUGGUACCCAUAACCCAUCCAUACAGCUAGGCUAGCUAAACAGCAUAAAUAAAUGUAUAACGAUUCUUAUAUAAAAAGCCACCACCCCAAGCCAAAAGAAAAAAAAAAUUGUGCUGAAAACAACAAUAUAAUUUCUUCAGUUUUUACUUGGAAACAAGAGAGAUGAAUACGAAGAAGCAGAAGCCAAAAGCUAUUGUAGUUGGAGGAAGCAUUGCUGGGGAAUCAUGCGCAAAAGCACUUAUUUCAGCAGACUGGGAUGUUGUUGUGAUUGAGAAAACUAGUGGACCCCCAACCCAAAACGCAACCGGUGCUGGCCUUGGACUCGAUCCAUUGGCUCAGAAAAUUGUUCAGUCAUGGCUCCAUGAACCUGAACUUUACAACAACACUUUACCUGUCACCAUUACUGAGGUAUAUAAUAUAAUAUAUUUAAUUUCUUUUUUCCCAGUAGAAUCCAGUAGUGCUUUGAAUUAUACUGAUCUCUUCAAGAUAUUAGUUGCACACGUGUAUAUACAAUGGUGUAUGGUUAAGAUUUGAUAAAAGUAUAUUUUGCUCUACACAAAGUACAAUUUAGAAUGGAAUCUCAUUGGGAAAAAAAUAUCUAUAUAUGUUGAAUAGAUAAAAUUUCAAUUUGUAUUUAAUUGCAGAACCUAGCAACAGAUGGGGAAAAGAAGAUCAGCUGGGUAAUAGGAAGAGAAGAAGGCGCUAAGUAUCUGACUGCAUAUUGGGCUGAUCUUCAUGGCCUUAUAUACAAUACUCUGCCACCUGAAAUAUUUUUAUGGGGUCACCGGUACCUCUCUUUGUUGAAGUCAACACCAACAAUUUGUUGAAAAAUAAUAAUAAUUAAAAAUUAUAUUUUUAAUUAUUUUAUUCUUAGCAUAGUAAUUCAUGUCUCCUAUAAAUAGCUAAGGAUUUCAUUCAGUCGAAAUCAUCCCAAAAUUGUUAAGCUUAUAAGUUUUUAAGCUUUUGAGAGAAGUGAGAGAAGUGUGUCUGGGGAAUUUAUCUUUCCUGCAGUGUCUGAGAGUACUGGGUAUAUUUGGGUUUCUGGGAAGUGAGAUUCGUUACUCAAAUAUUGUACUCUAUUAAUUGUUAAAUAAACAAUUAUUCUUUCUUGCCUCCGUGGAUGUAGGUUUAAUUACCGAACCACGUAAUUCUUGUGUCCUUUAUUUUUCUAUAAUUAUUUGGUGCGCUUGAUUCCGCAUUCUGCGCACAACACUCUUUCUGUAUUUCUGAAGACAAAUUAACUGUCAAAGUUAGAGCUAAGGAUCUUGAUACUAAUGAAAUAAUCGAGAUAGUAGGAGAUUUGCUCGUCGGAGCAGAUGGGAUCCUCUCAUCAAUUCGUCAGAGCAUUCUACCUGACUUCAAAUUGAGGUUUGUGCUUGCUUGUGAAUAUCAAUAAAAGUAAUUAAUUUUUGAGUAUUUUGUUUCAUAAAUUUCAAUGUGUUUUUAAUAGGUACACGGGAUACUGUGCGUGGAGAGGUGUUUUUAAUUUUUCAGAAAACGAUUCAGAAACCAUCUUAGGCAUUCGAAAAUCGUAUCCUGAUAUUGGGAAAUGCCUUUACACGAAUAUUGGUUCAGGAUCUCACAUCAUAGUCACUGAGCUUAAGAAAGAGAAGUUCAAUUGGGUUUGGUAUGUCAAUCAACCUGAGCCCGAGCUCAAGGUAACUGCUUACUUUUGUUUCAUCUUUCUAUUUUGUUUUCGGGGGUUCGAGUUGAGUGCUAAAAUCUAAUUUUUGCAAACGAUCAACACAGCUCAGACCAUCACCGGAUCCAUUUUUUUUUUUAAUUUUCCAGUUUAUCAAUGCAGUAUGACGUGACAUUGGGAAACAAAUUAUUUUAUUCUCUGCAGGGAAAUACAACUUCUGUGAAAGUAAGCAGUGACAUGAUCGAGGAGUUGCACCAAAGAGCAGAGCAGGUUUGGUUACCUGAAUUGUCAAGAUUGAUCAAAGAAACAAGGGAUCCUUUCCUUAAUGCUAUAUAUGAUUGCGAUCCUUUGGAGAAAAUCAUCUGGGACAGAGUGGUGCUAACAGGAGAUGCAGCUCACCCGACAACUCCACACUCUGCCAGAAGCACAAACAUGGCGAUAAUAGAUGCAGCAGUGUUAGGAAAAUGCCUCGAGAAGUGGGGGCCGGAUCAUUUAUACUCUGCUCUGGAAGAAUAUCAAUCCAUUAGGAAGCCUGUAACUUCAGCACAAGUUCUACAUUCGCGACGAUUGGGUCAAAUGAAACAGGGGUUAAGUAUUCCUGGAAGGGAGCGGCCUUUUGAUCCAAAGACAGCAAGUCUAGAGGACUCGGAAUUCAUCCUUAACAAAAAUGUGCCUCUUUUCGACGUUGUUCCUCCGAUUCUUGAUUCAAUUUUUCGUUCUGCUUGAUAACUUCAAAGGACACGGCUUGGUCUGUUCAUUAUGCUAACUAUAGCUGCCUAUAAAUAAGAGGGUUGACCUCAAUUGUGUGAGUAAAAGAACUGCUAUACUUAUGUUCCUUCCUGUAAUAACGAAAGCCUCUUACUUAAUUCAGUGUCUCUACUUCUUCAGCAAAAUAAAAAUAAAUUCUUGAUCGAAAUACACCCAACUUUUCCAAUUUUCUUAUAAAAAUGACACCACGAUAGGAUGGGAUUGUCCUUGUGUUGUGUCAUUGAUCUAUCCAUAUUUGUUUUUCCCAAAAACAAUUUCCAUGAAGGAGGAUGUUUUGCUGCUUGUUAGUGCACGCUAUUUAAGCACAAGACAUGAUUGAGAUUUAUGCAAGGUAUGUGGUAGAAUUUAUGUAAGACGACCGAUGAUUCAUAAGGAAAGCUAAACAUGAGAGUUAGUAACUUGUACUAUGGUGAUCAACGCGUUGAAGAAAAAUUUUAGAAUUUUUAUUAUAAGUGGUGCAUACAAAAGUUGGUGAGUCGAACUUGUACUCAAAUACUAGCUCAUGUAUUAGGAGUUGCCUUAGGCUUACGUUAUUAAUCUAGUAACUAAUAUUAGCGAUAUGAAAUAUUUUUUUCUAUCAUCUUCCAUCACAUGUGUGUAGGUCAAUCUUUUUGUUUGGUCCUUGUCUAGUGAUAAGACAGUGUGAGUGAUUUUGAGAGAAAAUAUGAAAAACACAAACAAUGAAAAUUCCCUUUUACUUAAACUAAGACAGAUUUUUUUACACUGAAGUUGAUAGAAGACACUCGAAUGCGCAGGAGUGAAAUCUUGACAAAUUAAAGCGAGAACUAAGACAUGCUAGUCCUUUCUCGCGCAUUUAGUUGACAUUAUUUUGCUUUGCAAAUAAAUGCGGGCAUGGUUGAAGGCAUUUUAUCUUUCCGGAAGUGGAUGGAGAAAUAAAUAUAAUUAAAAGGGAUGCGAAUAAUAAAUGCCAUUUUUUUCUGAAUAACGAAGAAUAUAUUAGAAAUAAAUUGAAAUGUAACAAAAUACUUGAAAUAAUUCAAGUGACGGGUUUUUUCUCUGUUAACAACGCGCGAUAGUUCCUUGUCAUGAGCUUCUUAUCUUCUGUCUUGAAGGAAGAAAUUGCAAAAGACGAAUAAAACGAUUUCCUUUACACAUGCAAUCAAUGCUGCUGCCUUUAUAUCUUUAUUAUUCUCGGAGGGAUGACACUGUUGAGAGCCAAAACCAUUACCCAUACUCACUCCUCUUAUAGCCAUGUCUAACUCUCUACAAUAAUUUUGAUAUUGCUGUUCUUCAGUUCUUCCACUACUCAACAAAUGCGAAGGUAUGCGAUGGCUCCACUCAUUCAAGUUGAUUUUACAUUUGUUACAAUCUACUCCCGCCGUUGCUAGAGCCUCUAUGGACAUGUUUUAACAAGGUGAAGGAGGAGCUAAAUAAAAUUCACAAUUUUCCUGAAAGUUUACAGCUUCCAGGAAAUUCACCACCUCUAUAGAAUUGUAAUAACAAGAAUUGUGGUCUCCGUAAAAGAAUUUAUAAGAGUUAAUAUAAAAGAUUUGUUUAGGAGAAUGAAUUUUAUACGGACUAGAAAUACUCAUGAUUAAUUAGUUAUUCAGAUGGUUUAGAAAUCCUCUCGAUAUCAGGAAGCCAUUUAAGAUUCUGAAUUGAGCCUCUUGUACAUAAGCUCAUCAAGGACGGUGUAAGUUCCAGAGGCCAAGUCCAUGUGCACGCCAUUCCCAAGCGUAGGAUAUGCCUUCCGGACGCCUUGUAUGGUUUCUGAAUUCUCAUUUUCCGAAAAAUCAAAAACCCCCCUCCAAGCACAUUCUUUACUUUUAAUUGCUUUGGAAAUUAAGGAUUCGUCAGCCGCCAGAUUCCGCAGUGAUUCUGUUGCAUUGGAUGUCUUCAAUUCAGAAACCUGAGUUUAGAGUCUGGUAAAAAAGUCUGGCGAACUGAUGAGCGGCUCCCGUCAGCCGCAACCAGCAAAUCUCCAGCUAUGUCGAUGACCUCAUCAGUUUUAAGAUUCUUAGCUUUGACAUUGACAGUUGAUUUGUCGUGAGAAAUGCAGAAAGUGAGGUACAAGUGACCCCAAAAAAAAUUUCCGGAGGCAGAGUAUUGUAUAUAAGACUAUGAAGAUCAGUCCAAUGUGCCUGUAAAUAGUUGAAAUUUUCAUCUCUAGCUAGUAUCCGACAGAUAUUCUUUUCCUGAUCUACUGCCCGAUUCUGCACAGAAAGAAAAAUAAAAAAAAUCAGCACAACUUGUGGGAACGUCAGUUGAAAUUAAAGCAAUUCUGUGUAGACACAUACAUUACCUGAUCAAUGGUGAGAGGUAAGGUGAUGUUGUGAAGAAGAUCAGGUUGAUGGAGCCAUGACUUAACUAUUUUCUGGGACAAUGGAUGAAGUGCGAUUCCAGCGCCAGUUGGGUUUCCGGUUGGAGGUCCACGUAUCUUCUCGAUCACCACCACAUCCCAACCUGCUAAAAUAAGCGCUUUUGUGCAUGAUAUCCCUGCUAUGCUUCCCACAACUAUUAUAGCUUUUGGCUUCCGCAUCCCCUCCCUCAUGUCUCUCUCUUCCUCUCAAACACCAGUAUGUGUGACACAAAGGGACGCUCGCGCAUAGAUAUAUUUAUAGACAGGGGAAAACUUCCCAUUCUGAAUUCAUAAAUCAGGAUGAGCCGGCAAUCAUAUGAACAUUUUUUUUAUAUUAUUGUCAAAAAAAUUUUAUACUAUUGUUAAUUUGACUCGGAUUUUAAUAAAAUUUAACAUCUCGAACCAAGUCACUACUCUAGAAAAUUUUUUCAAUCUGAACUUAUAUAUUCCAAUUCAAGAACAAGGUUUAAUAAUGUAAUGACCGUGAAAAUUAUUAAACCAUAUGGUUUAAUAGUGAAUGAUAUUAUACUAUAAAACCAUUUAAUAACUUUUCAAAUUUUAAUAAUAUUCAGGAUUCUAGACUAGAUCAGUACUAUACACACACACAUACACAUGCGGUGUCAGGAAUUAUUUUUAGCAGGCUCUAAGUUUAAAUAAUAAUUUACUUUAAAAAAUAAUUAAAAAAUAACAUAUAUCAAAAUAAAAAUUUAUUAAAAUAUUUAAUUCAAUACACUUAUAGCUGUUCUUGACUUGGUUUUAUAUGUUAAAAAUAUUAAAGAAAAAUCUCAUUAUCAAGGCUACAAAAUAUGUCUUUUUCUAUGUAUAUAACAAAUAUAUCAUUCAACUAUUGUUCUCCCAUUUGAUUUCACAGAUGAUUUUUUAUAAAAUUUAUAGUUGAAAAUGCCCUUUCUACUGUAUCUCUAGUAACUGGUAAAAUCAAUGCUAAUGUCACCAAUAAAUAAACUAAUGAAUAUAAUUUACCCUUCUUAGUCUCACCACAUUGUUAUUUUAUUAUUUAUUUGAAAACUGAUAAUAAAUUAUGAUUAAAUAUGUUCGCAGCAAUUACAAAGUCUUGAUACAAUGUUUCUAUCUCACAUGAUGACGUAACAUCAAUAUCGAUGAUCGCUAAUUAGGGAUUCCAUUAUCCUAUUUUCCCUCUCACAUGAUGAAUAAAUAAACAGCUUUAAAAUCUCGCGUCACCCAAUGUCUAGAAUGUACCCGGAGGCCGCAGCCUCAAAAGUAGUUAAAUUAAAUUCAAACUCUACAAACUCAAUAACAUGAUUACGUCUUAUUCUUUCUUAAUUGAAGUUGAUUUUUCAAGGAGGCAAUUUGUCCCGUCAUAUGCAGCCAAGUUAGAACGAAAAAAUGCUUAAUUCAAAUCUCACGGUCUUGAAGAAAUCUUUCUAGUCAAAAUAAACUCUCAAGUCAGAUUUUUCAAUCUGGCGAUAUGAAAUUUGCCUAAUAAAUCUCUACAUUCAGACAUCACGUUUAUGAAACCCUUGCAUUCAGAAUAAAUUCUUGCGGUAUAUCAAAAAAAAAAAAAAAAAAUCUUGCGGGUAAGGGGGAUCAAGUGCAAGAAUAAAGUUUGAUAAAAAUGAAUAAAAGGAAUAAGGUGAAUGUUUGUUGUGGUUUAUUUAGCAUAUGUUUGUUGUGGUUUAUUUAAUAACUAAAAGUUUUUACAAGUUUUUUUCAAAAUUUUUACUGUUGUUUGUUAGUAUUUUGGAUAGAGAGCUUUUGAGAAUUAAAUAAGUUAUUUUGCAUCUACAAAUAAAAGUGUAAAUUAAAUAAGUUAUUUUGGGCUUUUGGGAACAAAAGUUGUAGAGCAUUUUUCAAGUGUUCAAUUAUCUAACAUACCUUUUAUUUAUUUUACAUUUUUAUUCCAUUCUUUUCAUAGUAUGAUUUUAAAUAAAUUGGUCAAUUAAAGUAAUUUUAUAAUUUAAAUUUUUUAAUAAAAGUUCAUAUUGACAACCAAAUAAUUAAAAUAUUUUAGUAAAUCUCCACUUGAAACAACUUAAUUUUAUUAAAAGCUAGAGCAUAGAGUCAGUGACAACGCAGAAAUAUAAAAAGUUGAUUGAUAGAAGAAAUUAGGUUUCUAAAUAAUAAAAGUUUUGUUAGAAAAGUUUAAAUGAACAAAACUAGUGUUUUGAGCUCCUGUUAUAAUAAUCAUAAAUAUCACGAAUUUAUCAUAAUAAAAAAAAUUAAAAUAUCAUUUUAUAAUAAAAGGAAAAUUAUCAUUCGUAUACCCUAUAUUUGCUCUGUUAUCAAAAAUACUACAAUACUUUGAGAGUGUAUCAAUCGUCCACCCUAAGUUGACGAAAUGUAUUAGCCGACCACCAAACCGUUAAUUUUCGUUUGAAAGUUAACGGAAUUACAGUGAAUUAAUGAUUUUACCCUUGAAAAUUAUCACUUGUAUACCCUUAAAUUCUUUUUUUAUCACUUGUAUACCCUUAAAUGAUCACUUUUAUCAUAUGAAAAGACCAGAUUACCCUUAUGAAGUUAUCAUAUUUAAACGGCAACUAACGAUUUGGUGGUCGGCUGAUACAUUUUGUCAACUUAAGGUGGACGAUUGAUAUACCCUCAAAGUGUUGUAGUAGUUUUGAUAAUGGAGUAAACUAAGGGUAUACAAAUGAUAAUUUCCCAUAAUAAAAUCUCAUAAUCUAAAUAAAGAAACCACAAUAAACAACACCCAAAGCCAAUAUCUAAAAAAAAAGAUAAAAUCAUAAAAUUAAUAGGAAAAAUAGAAAAAUAACCUAAUGCUGAAAAAUGAUGAGGAAAAAAGUAACACUUUUAAAUCGAUCACGGGGCAUAACUAUGCGAGCUAUUAUGUUUGGUUUGUCUCAUUGCAGGCUUCGAAACAGUAUAUUAGAUACCUAAAACGAAUCCCUGUAACCUUAGUUAUGACCUCUAGAAAAUAAUCUGCUCAUCUUACGCAACAAUCCUACAUUAGCUAGCCCAGUUUGGGAUUGUGAUGACUGUUGAAAAUGUGAUUAAAAAAAAAAGUGUUAAAAUGAUGGGCAGUUGAGCCACCAUCUUUGAAUUCAAAGACGGUGGGUGGCUAAGCCAGUCACCAUCAUUGAACAAGGAAAAUGGGUGGGUGCCGCUCAUGCAAAGAAGAAAAAGAGGAAGAAAAGGAAGCCAAAAUUUGGCUAUAAAUAGAGGGGUUCUCCCCGUCAUUUAGGUAUCCAAGUUUUGGCAAGAAAUUGAGAAAGAGAAAUAUUUUUAAGCACGUAGUUAUAUUGAAGGAGUAUUUGACUCUUCAAUAUGGGUAUUACGGGUUUGCUUUGUUAGGGAAUAUUUAUAAGAAUCAUGUAUUUGGGGCUUGGGUGAGAGAAAAUUAUUUAUGAGAAAGUGGUUGUAAAAAUUUUCCACAUAGUGAAUAUUUUUUCUCUGAUUGUCUUUUGACAAUGGCCGUGGUUUUUCUCCGUAUUUGGAGUUUUCCACGUAAAUAUUGCGUUAUGUGAUUGGUGUAUUCUCCAUUUAAUUUUUCUGUUAAUUUGUUGCUUGACAAAUUGCUUGAAGUGAUCUUGGAGGAAGCCUAACAAUGACUUGUGAAAAAAACCGCUUCUAUAAAGCGAAUGAAUAAUCUACUUAUUAAAAUAGUAGCUUGGUGUUUAAUAAAGUGUGUUGUUGUAGUUGCUUUGAGUUUGGAAAAAAAUUACAUGUGUUUGAUAGAUUUUAUUGCGAAUGUGAUGUUUUGUUAUAUAAUGACCAAAAUAAUCAUAAUUUAAUUUUUUUAUUUAUAGAUUAGGAUGCAUGAAAAAUAAGAUGUAAUUGUUUCUUUGUUCAAACACUAAGGGCGUGUUUGGCAGCCCUCAUUAUAUAGUAUUAGGACUCCUCAUAGCAUUAAAUACUUAGAAUAGGGUUUGGCUACAAUGCCAGGCUCUCAAAAAGAGAGCCCGGCUGUCUUUGGCUGCCAUUUGGCAGCCAAAGACUUGGUGCAGCCAAUUAACAAACCGGUUGCACCAUAUUUUUUUUAAAAAAUAUAUAAAAAAUACAAUAUAAAAAUUAAAAAAAUUCAAAAUAUUUUUUUAUAAUAUAAUUAAUAGCAAAAGAUAAAUAAAUUAAAUAAUAUAAUACAAACCCUAUAAUACAGUAUAAUAUAAUGAAAUAAAAUGGCAAAAAAUAAAGAAAUUGAAAAUGAAAAAAAUAGUAUUUCAGGUUUAACGUUAGUUGUUGCAUGUUUGACGUCUUGAUUGCAUGUUUGACGUAAGAUGUUGCAUGUGUUAAAUAAAGCCAAAAUAAAGAAUAUUCCCGAAUAUUCUCGUCCGUUUCAUGUUUGACGUUGAAGUUGCGAACUUUACGUGAUAAGUUGCACAUUUCGCGUGAAGUGUUGCAAGUUUUAUAUUUAACGUCCGUUGUUGCAUGUCGGACGUCACGGUUGCAUGUUUGAGGUAGGCUGUUGCAUGUGUUGAAUAAAGCCAAAAUAAAGAAUAUUCCCGAGUAUUCUUGUCUAUUUCAUGUUUGACGUCGAAGUUGCGAACUUUACGUGAUAAGUUGCAUAUUUCGUGUGAAGUGUUGUAAGUUUCAUGUUUAACAUCCGUUGUUGCAUAUCGGACACCACGGUUGCAUGUUUGACGUAAGCUGUUGCAAGUGUUGAAUAAAGCCAAAAUAAAGAAUAUUCCAGAAUAUUCUCAUUCGUUUCAUGUUUGACGUCGAAGUUGCGAAAUUUACGUGAUAAGUUACAUAUUUCUCGUCAAGUAUUGCAAGUUUCAUGUUUAACGUCAGUUGUUGCAUGUUCGACGGAUGGAGUUCAUAUUUGAUGUAAGGUGUUGCAUGUUUUGAAUAAAGCCAAAAUAAAGGAUAUUCCCGAGUAUUCUCGUCCGUUUCAUGUUUGACGUCGAAGUUGCGAAUUUUACGUGAUAAGUUGCAUAUUUCGCGUGAAGUGUUGUAAGUUUCAUGUUUAACGUCAGUUGUUGCAUGUUCGACAGAUGGAGUUCAUAUUUGACGUAAGGUGUUGCAAGUGUUGAAUAAAGCCAAAAUAAAGAAUAUUCCCGAAUAUUCUCGUCCGUUUCAUGUUUGACGUCAAAGUUGCGAAAUUUACGUGAUAAGUUACAUAUUUCUCGUCAAGUAUUGCAAGUUUCAUGUUUAACGUCAGUUGUUGCAUGUUCGACGGAUGGAGUUCAUAUUUGACGUAAGGUGUUGCAUGUUUUGAAUAAAGCCAAAAUAAAGAAUAUUCUCGAAUAUUCUCAUCCGUUUCAUGUUUGACGUCGAAGUUGCAAACUUUACGUGAUAAGUUGUAUAUUCCGCGUGAGGUGUUGCAAGUUUCAUGUUUAACGUCAUUUGUUGCAUGUUCGACGGUUGGAUUUCAUGUUUGACGUACGAUGUUGCAUGUUUUGAAUACAACCAAAAUAAAAAAUAUUCCUGAAUAUUCUCGUUUGUUUCAUGUUUGACGUCGAUGUUGCGAACUUUACGUGAUAAGUUGCAUAUUCCGCGUGAGGUGUUGCAAGUUUCAUGUUUAACGUCAGUUGUUGCAUGUUCGACUAUUGGAUUUCAUGUUUGACGUAUGAUGUUGCAUGUUUUGAAUAAAGUCAAAAUAAAAAAUAUUCCCAAAUAUUCUCAUCAGUUUCAUGUUUGACGUCGAAGUUGCAAACUUUACGUGAUAAGUUGUAUAUUCCGCGUGAGGUGUUGCAAGUUUCAUUUUUAAUGUUAGUUGUUGCAUGUGUGAUGGGAGGAUUUCAUGUUUGACGUACGAUGUUGCAUGUUUUGGAUAAAGCCAAAAUAAAGAAUAUUCUCGAAUAUUCUCUCCCGUUUCAUGUUUAACGUCCAUGUUGCCAACUUUACGUGAUAAGUUGCAUAUUUCGCGUGAAGUGUUGCAAGUUUCAUAUUUAACGUCUGUUGUUGCAUGUUCGACGGUUGGAUUUCAUGUUUGACGUACGAUGUUGCAUGUUUUGAAUAAAGCCAAAAUAAAGAAUAUUCUCGAAUAUUCUCGUCCGUUUCAUGUUUGACGUCAAAGUUGCAUAAUUUACGUGAUAAAUUGCAUAUUUAACGUGACUUGUUGCGGGUUUCAUGUUUUACGUCUAUUGUUGCAUGUUGGACGUCGCGGUUGCAUGUUUGACAUUAGAUGUUGCAUGUCUUGAAUCAAGCCAAAAUAAAGAAUAUUUCUGAAUAUUCUCGCUUGUUUUAUAUUUGACAUCAAAGUUGUAUACUUUACGUGAUAGGUUGCAUGUUUGACGUAAAAUAUGGUAGGGUAGGUUUAUAUAAAAUAACUAAUUAUAAAAUGAGAGUGCAUUUCAAAAUUCCUUGACAAAUCAAGUGAUAAUUUAUAACUAGACUUAUUUUUUUCAAUUUUUUUUUAUUAAUUAAGUUUAAUUAAGCCAAUCUAUUAAGAAACAAAUGAAAAUAUAUUAAAAUUAAAUUAAAUUUAACUUUUACCCAAUAAAUAUAUUUAGGAAUAUAUCUAAUUAAACUGGUACACAAAUUACAAAUGUUUUCAUGAAAUUACACACAUAAGUUUAAUAGUCUAACUAUUUUUUACAUGAUUGAUAAAAUGAUGGCUUUGGAAAGAACUUGUGAUUCGAAAAGAAAAAUCUAGUUAAUUAUAAUAAAAUUACAUAUCUAAUCCAACAUUUUUUCCUUAUUUUAGUCAGAUAAUAGUUUUGAAAAUAAUUUGAUAAUUCAAGUGAUAAUGUCUAUUCUUAUUUGUUGUAUAAUAAUUUUUUAGGUGCAUUUCAUUUCAUUUUUAUUUUUUUAGAGAAUCUAAUCAUGGUGGAUAUUUUAAAUUACUAAGUCAUGAAAAUUUUGAAUUCAAUUGAAAUUUACAAUCUUUUAUGAAUGAAAAUAUACAGCAAGACAAAAAAAUUGAGAGAUAAAAAGAAAAUGUGGUAGAAAGAAAAGGCAACAUCAAUAUGAUCAUUUUCUAAGAAAAAUUAAGGCAAAAUCUUCCAAGUGAUAUGGUCAAUUUCAAUAAAAUUACAACUUACUAGAGUAAAUCCAUCUACUAAACAUCCAAAGUUCACAACAUAAUAUUUGAAUAUCACCAAUAACAUCCUCAAUCCGAUGAGUUGAGCAUUGGAGGGUUUAUGUUAGAAAAAUCUCCGACAUCCCUUGACUAGUUGUUAUGAACGCAAGCAUCCUUGGAGAAAGAGCUUAAGGUCCCAAGAGCCUAUUCGAUAAGAAAGAUAGAAGUACAAACCGACUCCCCAACAACUACUAAUUUAAGUGUUGGCGUGGUUGUCUAUUCACUUCACAGCUCGACGAGAAUUCAACAUCAACAAAUAUUUUAGAACCUAGUGUAUCUUCAAUCAUUUUGGAUUAAAUUGUAUGACACUUUUUUCUUUUCUUCUCUUUUUUUGUGAAAACAAAUUUUAAUACACUUAUUUUAAAAGAAAUUUGUUAAUGAAAAACAAAAUAAUGACAAUGAAGAGCACUCAUUUAUAAAAAUAAGCUACAAAUAGAAAAAUAAAAUUCAUAUAAGUAGAAUCUCCCAAAAAAUAAAAGCAUUGUCGAAUUGAGUUACAAACUAAUAAUAAUUUCAUCAAAGUUUGUAAACCAAAGAUUGUCCUAAUAUCAAAAAGUUUCCAAUAAAACACUUAUGCCAAAUAAUUUAUAGAACCUAGUAAUAUCCAACUGAAUUCUCCCCUGCAAAUAAUUAAAAUUUUCAAGUUAGUCAAUAAGAAAAAACAGCCAUCAAUCAUAAUAAGAAGCAACAGCAAAUUACACUAAAAAAAGGCAGAAAAAAGCACCAAAACAAAUAUAAACAAGAAACAACAAUUAAAAAAAAAACCCCAAAAUGGCAUAAAAAGAUGCUCAAAGCAGCAAUAAAUUUAUUAAAAAAUACCCUAAAAUAGCAGUGAAAAGUGCUUUAAAAAGCAUUAAAAAAUCCAAAAACAAUAGUAAACAUGCCUAGAAACAGUAGAAAAAAACCCCCUAAAAUAGCAAGAAAACUGCCUAAAACUAGAAAAAAAAUCUAGCAGCAAAAUCUUCCAUUGCCAAAUAAAGCUAUGAAAGAAAAGAAAUAAAAUUCAUAAAGAGUCAAAGCUAACAUACUGACCACUUGCUAGAAAUUAAGCUAUAAAUCCCAAAUUUUUACACAAAUUAGUAUCUGAAACAAGAUUGGUUUGAUAUAUGAUAGUCAAGUAAAAUACCUAUAAAGUAGUACAAAUUCAGCAAACCUAAUGGCUUCACUCCACUCAUUUUCUUAAGACUCCAGUGAUGAGAAGCCGCCAACAGAAUGAUAAAUUGAGGUUUGACAGGAAGCACACAAACUAAACAAGAUACAUAACAACUUUGUUAUCCAUGUUACACCCUAGAACCAUUUCUAGGAAUAUUUGUUAGAAUAGCCACCAUAACAGUUGAUGAACAACAUAAAACAAAGACAACAACAAAACCAACAACCUGCAAAGUGCCAAUUCUUCCAUAAUUAAAUCAGAUACACAAUAGAAAUAAUUUACUAUUAAAAUCCCAAAUUCAUUUUAUCUUCUUCCUGCAUUUUCUCAUCAAUCAAACAUAAAAGAGAGCUCCUAUCGACACAUGCAAACAGUACCCACCAUCUUGUCACGUUCAAACACAACCCAAGAUCACAAAAGUUAAUUUUUCAGAUUUAGUUAACCAAAGAAAAUAUACCAUCAACUGGAUCACCUUAUAAAUCAAAUACAAUUCCACGAUAUUACCAACCUCCCAAAAAAAAAGGCACAAAGUUUAAAAUGAAAACAACAAGACCAUGAAAAAUAAGCAAAAGUGGGUAUUUAAAUCAAACAUGAUAGAAUGCAACAAAAGCAAAAAAGCUUUCGAUAGAAGCCAGAGCCAGAUGGGGUACAAGCAAGCUAGGAGGUACCAAUUAAAGAUGCUUCAUUCAAGAACAGAAAAGCUACCAGAAUGAUAAAAAUAGAAAAAAUGAAACAAUAAACAUAAACUUGGGUGAAAGCUGCAACAAUAGUUUCAAUCACUUAACAGUACCAGCAAACUUAUAGUAAACUUUAAGAACUAGAUGUUUAAGCCACAGAUAACGGGGACGUACCCAUGAGGAUAAAGACACAAGCGUGAGACCAGCAAAAAGUCGAAUGAAAAAGGAGGCAACGACGGUAGCGACGGAAACAGCUGGAUCGAAAGCGAACAGCUCAAGAUGAAAGCAACAAGUUAAUGGAUUGGAUUGUGUGCGCGAGAUGUGGCUUCGAUUUUAUUUGAUUAGUCAAGAAAUCGAAGAGAGAAAUUAGAGAGAAAUUUGUGAUUUCUGAGAGAGAGGCAAGAAAUUGAGAGAGAUUGGGCACGGUUGAAACACCUAAAUUACAAAAAUAUAAAUUUUGCAGCCUUUGGGAACUGGUUGCUUCGGUUGCCCUUUUUUUGUUUUUUUUUUCUUUUCAAUGUCAGCCGUUGGAUUCAUUUUACUUGAAUCCAACGGCUGCGUUUACAAGCCGGCACGAUGCCGGGCCUCAAUGCCCGGUAUUGUAGCUUUAGCCCUUAGAAUAUCAUGUUUGGUGACUAUUCCUCACUGUAUUUUUAUGUGGUCAAAAGAAGCUUGUAAUGCGGUCAAACCCGCAUAAAAUAAACUCGUGUGAGAGUCGGGUUUAUGCGGGUUUGUAAUUGUUUUGAGACAAAAAAAAAAUUCGCUUUCAUUUUCGUUCUCCUUGUCUGUGUAGUGGCUCGCCUGCACCUCCACACAUCCACUCCACAAAUCUCAACUCCACACCACCACUGCCUCAAACACCACCAGCUCCAUGUGAUCUGCCUUUAUACCGUCACUGUCUCACGACACCACCGUGACACCACCAGCUCCAUUGUCUUCCCGAUCUACCUCCGCGACGUGCGAGACCGCUGCGCGGCAUGCCUUCGCGACACUCCACCACCAUGCUCCACUGCCUUCAUCAUGCCGUCGUGCCUUCGUCAUUUUUGAAACUGUGAGGGUCUUAUCUUUGUGUUAGUAUGUUAGAUCAUGCAUGCUUUUUUUGUGCUUGGUUUGAUUAUUAUUCUUUUAGAAAAAGGAUCAUUUGUUGUUUUUGUGAUUUACUUAGUUUCUAAUAUAUCUUCAGUUAAGAAAAUAGAAUGGAGUCUUCUUGUUGCCUUUAAAUUAAAUUGAUAUUUUGUUUGAUUAUGUUAUUGUGAGGCUUUGAUUGAGAUUUUGUUACUUUAUGUUGUGAAUGGAUGAGUUUAUAGAUCUAUGCCCGACAAUUGUUUGAUGAAUUGUCUAAAAGAAAAAGAAUUUGGUGCUUUGCUUCACUAAUUGUGGCCUAGAAAUUAUUACCACAUGUAGAAGUAUUUCCAAUCCGUAGUUGACUUUACAUUAAGAAAAAAUUAUCCUAAUUGUUUGGCUAAAGUAUUUUUGUGGGUGGAUUUUUGGCAAAUGUAGCUUCAGCCUUCAUGUGUAAACCAAAAAAAUAAAUAAAUAAAAUCUCGCAGGAUUGUACUUCAUUAAUGCAAUACCAAAGCACAAGAUGAAGCGUUAUUGUCUGUGAAUGGUUAUUUUUGGAAUGAAACAGGUGGCUUGUAAAAUUUGCAAUUAUUCUUGACAACUAGUACUUUCGAUUCUGGAUUUGCAAAUUAAUAGUAAUAAACAUCAUGUAAUGGUAGAGAAAUUAAUAUUGAAAAAGGAACUUGAAAAUCAUUAAGAUGAAAUCUUAUGAAUUUACUUUAGUUCUUGAAAGGAAGUAUUGAGGCAAAACAGAAUUAAAGAACAGAGCUAUUCUAGAGCCAUUAAAUUUAGAAAAGAACCAAAAAAAAAUUAAGUUAAUGAUUAGAAGAAACAACGAUCUGAUAUAAAGGAAUUUGAAAUUAUAUUGAUAAGAAACCAAACUUAUCUUUUUACGUUAUGACCUUGUGCAGUGUCACCAUGGGUAACUUUUUUAGCAUAUGUAUGGCUUCCAUUGCUGACUUUGCUGUCAUGAUUUUGCCUCAGUAUUUUGUUUUACUACUGUUUUGAUUCUUGACUUAUUCUGCUUUUGGUCAUAUCUGUAUGGCUAGAUAUUGCAUUUUCUCAUCUUUGAGGAUGCCUUCUUGCUUGACAACAAACUUUUUCUGCUUCUAUUACUCGAAUCUAUCUCGUUCAAGGAUCUAAUGGCAAAAAAUUUAAGACCUCUAUAUUUAGUUUUUUUAAGUACUAAUAAAUAUUAUUUUAUAAAUAUAUAAUAUAAAUUAAUCACAAAAAAUUAAUACAGUACAAUGCAACACCAAACAUAGUAUAACUAAAAAUUAAUACAGUACAGUGCAACACCAAACAUUGUACAACAUUGUUAUAAUACAGUGUUAAUGCAAUACAGCAUAAUAUAAUACACCAGCAUAAAAAUAAUGUAAUACAACAUAAUACAAUACAGUGUGUCAAACGCACCCUAAGGCUAUAAUAGGAACUUAAAAAAGGUGUGGUGUCUUAUUUGAUACUUAUUUAUAAAUAGCAACUGUACAUACUUUGAAAAGUUACUGUAAAAAAAAAAAGAAACUUAUGAAAUAAGUGGCUUUUAAAAAAUUUAUCUAACACUAUUUAUUACUAUAAGAGAGCUCUAUAUAUAUUAAAUUCUUUUAGGUAAAUUAAAUUUUGCCCCUUUGAUUUUGAGGUCUGGCUACAUCACCGAUUGAAGCUUGUGAUUUUUUUAUUUACUAGUGCAUGAAAUCUUUAAUUUUGUUAAUAUAUUAGUGGCAUCAAUGAAUUAUUCUCUCUUUCUCUCUAUAUAUAUAUGAGAAAGGUGAUCAGGUCUGCAACUAUAUAUCAAACUCCUAGAUUUUUUUAAUCUUAAUCUUCAAUGAAUUAUUACUAUAAGAGAACUGAUCAAGUGCGUGGCUAUAUAUCAAACUCCGAAAUUUUUGGUAUUGUAGGCAGUUUUGAUCUUAAUCUUUGGCUAAGGGUAUAAUUGGGAUUGCAUUAGCUUGGUAAAUAAUCUAUCCUCAUAUAAAUUCUCCAAUAACUAACUUUGCAAAUAAUUUGAUGAGAUGUUUGGUAAAAUUGGAUUAUAAGGUAGGGAUGGCAAUGGGGAGGGGACCAAUAUCCCCAUACCCAUCUCCGAUAUUUUGCGUAUGUCCCCGUCCCCUCUCCGUCCCCGUCCCCGUCAGAAUUACUUGAGAGAAUCCUCAUCUCUUCCCCGAAUAAUAACAGGGGAUCCCCGAGGGUCCCCGAUCCCCGAAUAACUAAUAGUCUAAUACAUUAUUUUUAUUUUCGUUUUUAAAUUAAUCAUAUUAAAAUAAAAAAUUCAGAUAAAAAUAAAGUUCAAAAUAUAUCUUACAUUAAUAUUGAUCCAUUACAAAGUCACAUUCAAAAUAUAAAUUAUUAAAAUAAUUAUAAAACAAUGAAAAUAAUAUAAGUAAAGUAACUUAUAAGUGCAAAUAUUAAUAACUGUAUAAUAUAAUCACAAUGUAAAAUAAACUCAUACUGUUAUUGUAAGCUCGUAACCAACUUUGACAGCACAUUAAGGCCUCCAAUGUGCUUGGAUGAAGUUUGUUACGAUGUGGGCUCACAACUCUACCACCAGUACUAAAAGUUGAUUCAGAAGCAACUGUUGUAAUUGGAAUUGCCAAAAUAUCUCUAGCAAUUCGAGCUAAUGUAGGAUACCUAUUAGCAUUUAAUAAUAUAAAUAUUUUGAUAUUUAUUAUUUUUAACAAUAUUUAUAAUUUUAUUAUUUAUUUAUUAGUAAUUUUAAAAAUAAAAAUUAAAUUAAAAAUUAAAAUGGGGAAAUAGGUAGGGGAUGGGGAUUCCACCUCAUCCCCGUCCCCUCCCCGAAUAAAAAAUUGGGUAUAAAAUUAUCCCAGUACCCUCUCCGAAUGGGGAAAAUCCCCGAAGGUACCCGUCCCCGUGGGGAUUUUUGCCAUCCCUAUUAUAAGGAAAUCAAUUAUUAAAUAAUUUACUUAACAUGUUUGUCGUAUUAAUCAAAAAAUUGUGUUGUGUGCAAAUUACCAAGAUGGACAAGUUUUCUUAUAUAGUAAUAUAUAAUGAUAAUUAUGACGAUUUAUUNNNNNNNNNNNNNNNNNNNNNNNNNNNNNNNNNNNNNNNNNNNNNNNNNNNNNNNNNNNNNNNNNNNNNNNNNNNNNNNNNNNNNNNNNNNNNNNNNNNNAAUUUCUUUUUGCAUUCCAUUCUUUGUUGAACUAUUUAUUGCACGAGUGGAGGACGAAUUCUAAAUACAUUUGAAAUAAUACAAUCAACCAAUGCAUGCACACCACUUGUAUGGAGAUUUUUCAAAAAUAAAUGCACACAUGUCAUAACAUUAUCUACUUGUUAUAUGACUGGCAUGAUAUUUUUUAUGUAUUCUAAAAUUUUUCUGAGUGGAGACCAUGAGUGGUAACAUCCACGUGACAAAAGAGUAUUACAAAGAGAUAGUCUCUUGUCAAUUUGAAUAUUUAUUGUAUUGAAUCUACUAAGUAUAUAAGCUCGGACAACCCUAAUUUCAUGAUGAGGGGUUAAAGACAAUACUAUUCUAAAAGAAAAUGGAACGAAAUUGUCCAUCCAUAGCCAUUAUUUGACUUUUAGAUUUGCCCUUCCAAAUUUUAACAAAAUGCGCAGACGAUUUUUAAUUUAUUCAUGUGAACGAAGUACAACCAAAUUAUUGAACCAAUCAGAACCAAGAUGGAAAUGAUCAUAAGCAAAAGCAAUUUGCAAGGACGAAUGGAAGCAGAUAAAUUAUUCUAAUUAAGAGACUAAGUGCAAGUGAAAUAACUGUAGCACUGAUUAUUCGAGUAUGGAGGGAACGUCGUCGAAGAAGGGUAAACGUCUCUGUUUCAGGAUUUCACAAUCCUCAGGACUUGCUGUGUUUGGAUCAAAAGGCUCACGAUCAGGGGUAGGUAAGCCGAGUUUUAUUUGACCCACUCGCCGCGAAUGCAGGACUUGCUUGGUAGUGACAGGUAGCCUAACAGAUUGAUGUUCUUCCAGAGCUGAAUGUAAAUUUUCUGGCCCCCACCUCUCAAGGCAUUUACCUAAAACUGCUGCAUCAGCUAUGGCCAUGUUUGUGCUUCUUGCACAGUGAGGGGUUAUGGGAUGAGCCGCAUCUCCAAUUAAGACCACAUUGUCCCAGUAUAUUAGUGUCAAAGGGUCACAAUCAUAUAUAAGGUUAAGGAAAGGCUCCUUUGUUUCUUUUAUUACUCUUGCAAACUCAGGAACCCAAAUCUUCUCUGCUUCUUGGUGCAUCUUCUUGAUCAUGUCACUGCUCACUUUCAUUGUAGCUGAAUCUCCCUGAAAUUACUUAAUCAAUUUAUUAAAGCUAGCUCUGCUAACACGUAUGUAUAUAAAUGAUAAAAUGAAGCAAGUUAGGCAAUCGCCUUGAGUUGAGGCUCAGGUUGAGAGAUAAACCAAAUCCAAUUGAGCCUCUUGUACAUAAGCUCAUAAAGGACGGUGUGAGUUCCAGGGCCCAAGUCCACGUGCACGCCAUUCCCAAGCUCAGGAUAUGCCUUCCGGAUGCCUUGUAUGGUUUCUGAAUUCUCAUUUUCCGAAAAAUCAAAAACACCCCUCCAAGCACAGUAACCUGUAUACCUGAAAAACAGAAAUGAAAAAUAAACCGUAAAUUUCAAGACAACCGAAAAUAUGAAAAUAUAAUAUAAUUUGUGCAGAAACCUGAGUUUAGAGUCUGGUAAAAAAGUCUGGCGAACUGAUGAGCAGCUCCCGUCAGCUGCAACCAGCAAAUCUCCAACUACGUCGAUGAUCUCAUCAGUUCUAAGAUUCUUAGCUUUGACAUUGACGGUUGAUUUGUCGUGAGAAAUGCAGAAAGUAAGGCACAAGUGACCCCAAAAAACUAUUUCGACAGGUAGAGUAUUGUAUAUAAGACCAUGAAGAUCAGUCCAAUGUGCCACUAAAUAGUUGAAAUUUUCGUCUCUAGCUAGUACCCGCAGAUGUUCUAUUCCCUAUCUACUGCCCGAUUCUGCACAAAAAGAAAAAUAAAAAAAGUCAACGCAAGAGCUCAAAUUAAAGUAGUUCUGCGUAUAUACGUACAUUACCUGACCAAUAGUGAGAGGUAAGGUGAUGUUGUGAAGAAGAUCAGGUUGAUGGAGCCAUGACUUAACCAUUUUCUGGGACAAUGGAUUAAGUGCGAUUCCAGCGCCGGUUGGGUUUCCGGUUGGAGGUCCACGUGUCUUCUCGAUCACCACCACAUCCCAACCUGCUAAAAUAAGCGCUUUUGCGCAUGAUAUCCCUGCUAUGCUUCCCCCAACUAUUAUAGCUUUUGGCUUCCGCAUCCACUACCUCAUGUCUCUCUCUUCCUCUCAAACACCAGUAUGUGUGACACAAAGGGACGCUCGCGCAUGGAUAUAUUUAUAGACAGGGGAAAACUUCCCAUUCUGAAUUCAUAAAUCAGGAAGAGCUGGCAAUCAUAUGAACAUUUUUUUAUAUUAUUGUCAAAAAAAUUUUAUACUAUUGUUAAUUUUGAUAAGGACAAGUCACAAGCAACAAAUAUGGUAGCUUGUACCGCCAUGGCAAGAGGAUUUCCAACAUCUCGUCUAAGCCAUAAUUGAUGGAAAAUAUAGCAACACAUGUCAUGGUGGACUCAUCACAACGGCUAGUUGAUUAUUAUAAUUAUUGUAAAUAUUGUCUUUCCUUGUACAACAUCUUGAACGUCUUUAUAUAUUUGUAAAAAUCAAGAAUUGAAAAAGUAACAAAAACAAUUCCUAUUUUCACCAUAUUCAAGCAUCUCAAAUAUUUUCAUGGUAUCAGAGCCUAAUGGCUUCAAGUUCAAAUUCAGAACCAUCCCUAUCCCUUCAAUCUUUCCAUCAGUGUUCGAGUUUGGUUCCAAUAAAACUCAACACUGAAAAUUAUCUUAUUUGGAGUUCUCAAGUUCAACCACUUAUAUUUACCCUUGGGCUAAAUCACCAUAUAGUUGAUGUUAAGACUCCACCAAAGAUGAUAGAGCAAGAUGGGAAGGAGAUAAAUAAUCCAGAUUUUCUCAUGUGGAAAAAUAAUGAUGGACUUCUCACAACUUGGCUCAGAAGUAUGAUGAACGAAGACGUGUUGAGCAUGGUUAUCGGCUUGCAAACGGCUCGAGAAAUCUGGCUCACCGUUGAAGAAAACAUGCUGCCUGCAACUAAGGAGCAAGAAACAUGGCUAAAAGAUAGCCUUUAUUCUCUAAAGAAAGGAUCUUCCAAGCUUGAUGAAUUUCUUAAGAAAUUCAAGGGCCUUUGCGACAAGUUGGCAGCCAUUGGAAAACCAAUGAAUGAUGAUGACAAGAUUUUUCAAAUUGCAAGAGCCUUAGGUCCCAAAUAUGCUGACUUCAAAACUGCAAUGCUCACUAAACCUCCAUAUCCCAGCCUUAAACAAUUCAUCAAUGCUCUCCAAAACCAUGAACAUACUGUGAUCGUAGAAAAAGAUGAAUAAGCUAGACUUGGCACAAAUCAAAACCAAGCCUUCUUUGGUCAACGCGGAAGAGGCAGAAAUCAAAGAGGUGGAAGACCUCCAUACCGAGGCAGAGGAUCUCAACGCAACUCAGGUGGUAGAAAUUACCCCAACAACUACAACAAUUACAAUGGCAACAACCGUAAACCACAACAGCAGCCUCAAAAACCAAAUAAAGAAAAUAAUACCUCAGAUGAAGAAGUUAUUUGCCAAAUCUGUCACAAACGCAAACAUAGUGCUGCUGAAUGUUGGUACAGAUACAACUAUGACAAUGAAGAGGAUCCACAGGCCCUAGCUGCCAUGAAUCUUCAAGAAAAUAAUGAUCAACAGUUCUAUGUGGAUUCUGGAGCAACAUCACACAUGACAAAUAACACAGGUAAUCUUGAUCAUGUAAGGCCGUAUAGAGGUAAUGACAAAAUAAUUGUCGGCAAUGGUCAAGAUUUAAAUAUUUCACAUAUUGGUUCUGCUUCUUUAAAUACAAAUCAUGGUUCUUUACACUUAAAUAAUAUUUUAGUUGUUCCAAAACUCAAAAAGAAUCUCUUAUCAGUUGGACAACUCAUUGAUGAUAUUAAAUGUGUUUUUGAAUUUAACACUGAUGGUUUUAUUGUGAAGAGCAAGGAAAACAAGGUUCUGGCAAAGGGGAGUAAGCAAGGGAAGCUAUACACAUUGGAAGGAGACUUUCAUGCUGCCUUCAACGCAAUUCAAGGAGAAUCUAGCGGUUUUAGUUUAUGGCACAAGAGGCUUGGCCAUGCCAAUCCUAAAAUCUUGGAGGCCUUAAAACGCAAUGAUUUUAUUGACUUUUCUAGUUGGUCUAAAGCACCCCGUAUUUGUGUUUCUUGCCAAUUAGGCAAGAGUUGUAGGAAAUCUUUUAAUUUAUCUAAUAAUAAAGCAGAUUUUCCUUUACAAAAAGUGCAUUGUGAUAUAUGGGGUCCAGCUCCCAUUACUUCUACUCAACAUUUUCGUUGCUAUGUAUUAUUUGUAGAUGAUUAUUCACGUUUUAGUUGGUUAUAUCCCUUAAAACAAAAAUCUGAUUUCUUGGAGUGCUUCUUGAAAUUUCAGAAACAAGUUGAAAAGCAAUUGGACAAAAAGAUCACAAUAUUUCAAAGCGAUGGAGGAGGGGAAUUUAAUUCUACAGCCUUCAUCAAACAUCUUGAAAAUUGCGGUAUCACAAGACAAAUUUCUUGUCCAUACACUCCGGAGCAAAAUGGUGUUGCCGAGAGAAAGCAUAGACACAUCAAUGAGACAGCCUUGACGAUGAUGUUUCAUGCUUCUUUGCCACUCAAAUUAUGGGUGGAUUCUUUUCUUGCAGCCACUUAUAUCAUUAACAGACUGCCUCUUUCACCUUUAAAAAAUAAAAGCCCUUAUGAAAUUCUUUUCAAAAAAUUACCGGACUAUAAAGGGUUAAAAGUCCUAGGUUGUAGAUUUUUUCCUUAUCUUCGGGAUUACUGUAAAACAAAAUUUGAUAAAAAAUCAUAUCCAUGUGUUUUCAUAGGCUAUAGUCCCCUCCAUAAAGGAUAUCGUUGUCUACAACCUGAGACUAAUCGUGUAUAUAUAUCAAGGCAUGUUGUAUUUGAUGAAAAUUAUUUACCAUUCAAAAACUUAACGUCAUUUUUUAAUGUGCAGGAACAUAGUACAUUGACCACCUUCCCUCAACAAGAUGAGUGGCUCCCAAAGAAUUCUCCCAAUUGUGAGAAUCUUAAUGAUUCACAUGCUGUCAAAGUAAACAAUUGUAAAGGCGCUACAAUAUCAACACCACAUGUGCAAUUCAUGCCCCACAAGCAUGUGAACUUGGACAACAACUCAAAUGUUACUUCUCCAAUUAUUUCAAAUUUCCCACAAGAGAAUUUAGAGGACAAUUUGAAUUCAGCAACUCCACACGACAAGUCAGAAGCAAUUCCAAAUAUUUUGGAGUCUCCACAUGCAAUGCAUCCUUUGACUACAAAUGAUUCAAAUUCUAGUAGUUCACAUGCAACUGAACCACCUAAUUUGUCCAGAAAUACGAACAACAGCCCUGCCACAAAUUCACAACCAGAUUAUCCUGACAUAUCCAAUCGCUUAUUUGUGGAACUUAAGAUACCAAACACAGCUGCGGAACCGCAAAGCCUAAAUACUCAUCCCAUGAUGACACGCAAUAAACUCAAACAAAAUCCUAAAUUAGCCCUUCAAGCCAGCCACAGUAGAGAAAUUGAACCUAAAACACUCAAAACAGCCUUAAAGAAUCCACUUUGGACUCAAGCUAUGAAAGAAGAGCUUCAAGCAUUGCAUCAAAAUCAGACAUGGGUCCUUGUGCCGCGGCCUAACAAUGUUAAUGUCAUCGGAUCGAAGUGGGUAUAUCGUAUCAAAUACAGAGAAGAUGGAACCAUUGAUCGCUAUAAAGCUCGAUUAGUUGCCAAGGGAUUCACACAGGUUCCAGGAGUCGACUUCGAUGAAACCUUCAGUCCCGUUAUAAAGGCCACAACUAUUCGCCUUAUCCUUGCAAUUGCUGUGAGCUCAAAAUGGCUUAUCAAGCAGCUAGAUGUUCGCAAUGCUUUUCUUCAUGGACUAUUAAAGGAGACUGUCUACAUGGAGCAGCCUCCUGGGUUUCGCAAUUCACGUCAUCCAGCAUAUGUUUGCAAGCUUAAAAAAUCGCUCUAUGGCGUGAAACAGGCACCUAGAGCGUGGUUCGAGUGUCUUUCUCAAGCCUUAAUUUCUCUUGGAUUUUCUAGUAGCAAAGCUGAUAGCUCUUUAUUUAUAUUUAAUAACAAAUCCAUUCUUAUACUUAUAUUAAUUUAUGUUGAUGAUGUGAUCAUUACAGGAAAUAAUGAGAAGGAAAUUCAAUCAAUCAUCAACAAUCUGAGCUCAAAGUUUGCUUUAAAAGAUCUUGGCAACCUACAUUACUUCCUAGGCAUUGAAGUUCAACAAUUCACGCAUGGCAUCUUUCUAUCUCAAGCGAAGUACACUAAAGACCUUCUUUCCAAGGCAAGAAUGCAGGAUUGUUCUCCUAUCAACACGCCGAUGGCUAUACGAUCAAUACCGUGUUCGGAUGAUAAUGAACCUGUGGAUGCAACUGAAUAUAGAGGCCUUGUUGGAAGCCUUCAAUAUCUCACCUACACAAGGCCCGAUAUCACAUUUGCUGUCAAUCGAGUCUCUCAACACUUCCAAGCACCAACAAAAGCCAACCUCAAGGACGUGAAAAGGAUCCUUCGUUACCUUAAAGGUACCCUUGACUUUGGCCUUAGAUUUUUGUCUCAAAGCUCUCUCAAGCUCUAUGCCUUUUCCGAUUCCGAUUGGGCUGGAUGUCCGAUAACAAGACGAAGUACAACAGGAUUUUGCAUUUAUCUUGGAAGCAACUGUAUCUCUUGGAGCUCCAAGAAACAACACACAGUCUCUCGCUCAAGUGCCGAAGCCGAAUAUAGGUCCAUGGCCUCUGCCGCUGCCGAGUUAACAUGGCUCACAUAUCUCCUUAAUGACAUUGGGUUCUGUAUUCCGAAAGCACCCACACUUCUCUGUGACAAUUUGAGUGCAAUUCAUAUGACUAAGAACCCAGUGUUUCAUGCUAGAAUGAAACACAUUGAGCUUGACGUGCAUUUUGUUCGUGAGAAGGUUGCUAAAGGGUCAUUAUUUACACGAUAUGUGCCUUCUCAUCUUCAGAUUGCAGACACUCUUACAAAACCUUUGGGGAAGCAUCAAUUUCUCACGCUACGAACCAAGCUAGGCGUUCAUCGCAUGUCACUGCCUAGCUUGAGGGGGGCUGAUAAGGACAAGUCACAAGCAACAAAUAUGGUAGCUUGUACCGCCAUGGCAAGAGGAUUUCCAACAUCUCGUCUAAGCCAUAAUUGAUGGAAAAUAUAGCAACACAUGUCAUGGUGGACUCAUCACAACGGCUAGUUGAUUAUUAUAAUUAUUGUAAAUAUUGUCUUUCCUUGUACAACAUCUUGAACGUCUUUAUAUAUUUGUAAAAAUCAAGAAUUGAAAAAGUAACAAAAACAAUUCCUAUUUUCACCAUAUUCAAGCAUCUCAAAUAUUUUCAAAUUUGACUCGGAUUUUAAUAAAAUUUAACAUCUCGAACCAAGUCACUACUCUAGAGAAAAAUUUCAAGAAUAUAUCUGUUGAUUCCGGUAGGGCAAGAGUCUCAUGCACAAGUUUCUCAUCUAUUUUCUUACCAGAACAAAUUUCUAGUCAAAAUGAGGGUGUGAAAGGAAGAUAAAUAGACGAAAUUUGGCCCACCACUUCAUUCUUCCUAAAUGAAUAACUUUUUACCCUAUUAAACGAGGAAAAAUGGAUUAGAUUCUCCCUUAAUUUGAUCUGAUUAGUGAUUACUAAAUAAAGACCACACGCUUUAUUGUAGUGUGUUUCGUCAUUUAAUACAUUGAAGUUUGUAUGUUUUUAAAUUGGCCCUAGUUUUAGAUCACUUAGUUGGAAAGGGACAUCCUAUAUUAUUUUUAAAAAGCACAUCCUAUAAGACUCCAACAGAUGGAGUCCAAGUUCUAGAAUAGAUGAAUAAAUGAUGUCAAUUAAAUGGCAAUAGCCCACCAAAGAAGACAAAGAAAACAAGUUAGGAGAGAUUCUAGGGUAUACCAAAAGUACUACACUUAAUUAAUACAUAUAUGCUAUAUGUGUAUUUAUUUUAAAAAAUUAUCAUGUAAUUAAUAGUUAUAUUUAAUUGAACUAUACAUAUCAUACAUGUAUUAGUUAUAUGUAGCACAUAUAUUAUACUCUAGAAUUUCUCACAAGAUAAUAUGUCAUUAUACCACAAAGUUUGAAUCCUAUGAAAUAUGUUUAAAAUUGACUCUUGUAGAAAUUUUUAUGUGGUAGUGAAAUGAUUAUGAUAAAUAAUAUAUUAACACAUGCCAAUAUAUAAUUAUGCUACAUCAAUUAGGGUACCAUUGGUUUCACUUUUUUAUUUUACGUCUUAACUUUUGUAUUGACAAUAUUAGUUUUGUAUUAUAUAUAUAUAUAUAUAUAUAUAUAUAAUUACUAAGUUAUUUUUUGCAAUCAAUAAAUAUCUAAUAACUCAAUACUUUUACAUUUAUGCUCAUAAAAUUUUUACUUAUUAAAUAAAUAUUAAAAUAUCUCAAAAAUAAUAAACUAUAUUUUUUAACACGAAUUAAAACAAAUAAUUUUCACAUUUAAUCUUGUUUUAGUUUAUAAUAUGGACCAUUCAUUCACCACUUGGCAUAACUUUAUAACCUAGGUCCUGUUUGGAAUCGAAGUACUAUACCUUUUAAGUUACAACUGUCGUAAAAAAAAUUGUAAUUGUAAAACAAAAAAUUAAUAGCUGUGAACUUAAUGAUUGCUUACUAAAGUUUAGGCAUUUAUUUAUUAGUUAAUUGUCUAAAAUUUACUUGUGAAUGUUAUUGACAAUACUUAUGUAUUGAUUAAAAAGAUGAAGUAAGGCAUUGAUCUUAGUAAUGGUGAUUUACCUUCAAUAGAAAUAUUUUAUACUAGAUUGACAUAUUUGUGUAUUUAUUUUAAUGUUAAAACUUUAAUUUCUCAUUUACACUGAUAAAAUUUAGAAAUGGGUAUUAUAUGUAGAUUGUUAAGCUCCUAUUAUAAAUUUAUAGUUUGACUUAUAUAAUUUAAUUUUUUUGUGUUUUUAAAAGUAUUGUUUCAAUAUUUGUGAAGUAAAAACCCAUUGCAGGUUACGCAAGGAUUUAGUAAUUGUUAAAACCUACAGAGGGUGAAUUUUUUUUUUUAAAUAAAAAACCAAUAGCGAGUUAAGAAUUUACUGAUUUAAUUAUCUUUUACAAGUGCAUGUUUGAUAAUGAUAAAAUCACUGCACUGAAAGAAAUUCUAUGAAAAAUAUAAUUCUUGUUCUGUAUUUUUAAUGAAAUUUUCAGAGUUAUUUAUACAAAAUAAAGACAAAGUAGCCCAUGAAAGCCUUAAUAAUAUUAAAGGAGAAUAAGUGAAUACUUCCUAAACUAUUGCACAAUAUCUUUAUAAAAUAGGAAUGAAAUAUUCCUACAUGAUAUUGACAUUCAAGUGCAAAAAUCGUGCCGGAGAUAUUCCUCGACAAAUAACUUUGAUGUGAGCAAGUCGUGUCACGUGUGGAGUGAUAAACCCGACUUGACCGUUAAUGACUUUCCUUUUGGUAAUCUUGGUCAGCUUGCUUAACAAGUGGUACGCAUAACCCAUCCAUACAGCUAGGCUAGCUAAACAGCAUAAAUAAAUGUAUAACGAUUCUUAUAUAAAAAGCCACCACCCCAAGCCAAAACAAAAAAAAACAAUUGUGCUGAAUACAACAAUAUAAUUUCUUCAGUUAUAUUUACUUGGAAACAAGAGAGAUGAAUACGAAGAAGCAGAAGCCAAAAGCUAUUGUAGUUGGAGGAAGCAUUGCUGGGGAAUCAUGCGCAAAAGCACUUGUUUCAGCAGGCUGGGAUGUUGUUGUGAUUGAGAAAACUCGUGGACCCCCAACCCAAAACCCAACCGGUGCUGGCCUUGGACUCGAUCCAUUGGCUCAGAAAAUUGUUCAGUCAUGGCUCCACGAACCUGAACUUCUUUACAACAACACUUUACCUGUCACCAUUACUGAGGUAUAUAAUAUAAUAUAUUUAAUUUCUUUUUUCCCAGUAGAAUCCAGUAGUGCUUUGAAUUAUACUGAUCUCUUCAAGAUAUUAGUUGCACACGUGUAUAUACAAUGGUGUAUGGUUAAGAUUUGAUAAAAGGAUAUUUUUCUCUGCACAAAAUACAAUUUAGAAUGGAAUCUGAUUGGGAAAAAAAUAUCUAUAUAUGUUGAAUAGAUAAAAUUUAAAUUUGUGUUUAAUUGCAGAACCUAGCAACAGAUGGGGAAAAGAAGAUCAGCUGGGUAAUAGGAAGAGAAGAAGGCACUAAGUAUCUGACAGCAUAUUGGGCUGAUCUUCAUGGCCUUAUAUACAAUACUCUGCCACCUGAAAUAUUUUUAUGGGGUCACCAGUACCUCUCUUUCUGUAUUUCUGAAGACAAAUUAACUGUCAAAGUUAGAGCUAAGGAUCUUGAGACAGAUGAAAUAAUCGAGAUAGUAGGAGAUUUGCUCGUCGGAGCAGAUGGGAUCCUCUCAUCAAUUCGUCCGAGCAUUCUACCUGACUUCAAAUUGAGGUUUGUGCUUGCUUGUGAGUAUCAAUAAAAGUAAUUAAUUUUUGAGUAUUUUGUUUCAUAAUUUUCAAUGUGUUUUUAAUAGGUACACAGGAUACUGUGCGUGGAGAGGUGUUUUUAAUUUUUCAGAAAACGAUUCAGAAACCAUCUUAGGCAUUCGAAAAUCGUAUCCUGAUAUUGGGAAAUGCUUUUACACGAAUAUUGGUUCAGGAUCUCACAUCAUAGUCACUGAGCUUAAGAAAGAGAAGUUCAAUUGGGUUUGGUAUGUCAAUCAACCUGAGCCCGAGCUCAAGGUAACUGCUUACUUUUGUUUCAUCUGUCUAUUUUUUUUUCGGGGGUUCGAGUUGAGUGCUAAAAUCUAAUUUUUGCAAACGAUCAACACAGCUCAGACCAUCACCGGAUCCAUUUUUUUUUUUUAAUUUUCCGGUUUAUCAAUGCAGUAUGACGUGACAUUGGGAAACAAAUUAUUUUAUUCUCUGCAGGGAAAUACAACUUCUGUGAAAGUAAGCAGUGACAUGAUCGAGGAGUUGCACCAAAGAGCAGAGCAGGUUUGGUUACCUGAAUUGUCAAGAUUGAUCAAAGAAACAAGGGAUCCUUUCCUUAAUGCUAUAUAUGAUUGCGAUCCUUUGGAGAAAAUCAUCUGGGACAGAGUGGUGCUAACAGGAGAUGCAGCUCACCCGACAACUCCACACUCUGCCAGAAGCACAAACAUGGCGAUAAUAGAUGCAGCAGUGUUAGGAAAAUGCCUCGAGAAGUGGGGGCCGGAUCAUUUAUACUCUGCUCUGGAAGAAUAUCAAUCCAUUAGGAAGCCUGUAACUUCAGCACAAGUUCUACAUUCGCGACGAUUGGGUCAAAUGAAACAGGGGUUAAGUAUUCCUGGAAGGGAGCGGCCUUUUGAUCCAAAGACAGCAAGUCUAGAGGACUCGGAAUUCAUCCUUAACAAAAAUGUGCCUCUUUUCGACGUUGUUCCUCCGAUUCUUGAUUCAAUUUUUCGUUCUGCUUGAUAACUUCAAAGGACACGGCUUGGUCUGUUCAUUAUGCUAACUAUAGCUGCCUAUAAAUAAGAGGGUUGACCUCAAUUGUGUG
rnacentral:lncRNA from 1 species